rnacentral:lncRNA from 1 species
CCCCGCCAGCGGCUCCUCCCCGCCUCUGCCCUCCCCACCACCGGCCCUCUCCGCCGGCAGCCUCCUCCUCCUCCUCCACCGCCCCAUCCUCCUCCUCCACCACGCCAUCCUCUGGAUCCACCGCCCUCCACUGGAUCCACCAACCCAUCCUCCUCCUCCACCGGAUCCACCCCGUCGCCGGCCCUCCACCGCUCCUCUACCUCCUCCGCCGCUGCCAUCUUGCCCCUCCUCCACCUCCUCCGCGGCGCCCGCCAUCGUCGCCCCGCCACGCCUGCCCCGAAGGCCGCCACCGCCAUUCCUCGCCUUAGGCACGAGGUGAGGGGCGAGCGGAGGGGGGAGGGGAUGCCGUGGAGGGAGGGAGGAGGCAGGUGGUGGAGAGGGAGAGGGAGCUGGCGGUGGUGAAGAGGGAGAAGGAGAGAGGAAGAGGAGAGAGCGAGGGGAGAGAGGAGAGCUGAGAGAUGAGCGUGCGGUGGGAGAGAGGAUAACGACAAGCAUGCGUGCGCAAGGGAGUGAAAAAAUUCUAAGUCCUCGAGGCAGGUGCAGGAGAAGCCUCUAGUACCGGUGUGUAAACCCAUUCGGUACUACAGGUGACCCUCUAGUACCAGUUGGAGCUACCAACCAGUAUUAGAGCCUCUAGUACCAGUUGGUAGCUCCAACCGGUACUAGAGGUACCGGUACUAGAGGGUUACCUCUGGUACCAGAUGGAGUCACCAUCCGGUACUAGAGGGCCUCUGGGGGCUCCCAACUUUGGAACCGAUACUAAGGUUAGGGAUGAAAGGUCAGUUUUUUAGUAGUGGGAUUAAGAGUGUGUGGACUUUAUUAUUGGAUCUAAUUAAGUAAUGUAUUAUGAAAACCAUUUUGUAAGUGUGUGUUGAUGAGAGGAUUUCACUCUGCUUUUGGGUGCGCAACUGUGAAGCUAAGGUUCUCUACUGCCGCUCUCGUUCAACAAACUAUAGUUUCCCAAAAAUGGCUAAGUUAUUUUGGAAAACCAGAUCAAUUUAUUGGACUAGAGGGGCAUUCAGAACUGUAGGGGCAACAGGUAUCUACUACCGAUUGAAAACACUACAUAGUACCAGUGAAUUUAGCUUGUAGAUUUAUUUACUACCUGUCGGUGAAAAUAACCAGGAGUUAAAGAGCAUGCUUGGUUGGUUUCCAAAAUUUGCCCAGCUAAAAUUGGGGGAUGCCCAUACAUUUUGGCACUUGUUUGGUUGAAAGCUAAAAAAUGUUGGCAAUCAUAUUUUGCCACUCAAUCAAGUGAUACCCUAAAAUUCUUGCCCAGGUUUUGGCAGGAAAAUUUUUGUCACGUCUACGUUUUGGCAUGGCAAAUUUUGGAGCUAAAUCAAUCAGACUCUAAGUCCACUUUCACUCAGUUUGUUUACUCCCAUAUGCACUAACGGAUAAGCUUCCUCUAAUCGGUCGGAUGUAACUUACGCCCUCUUCUUUAUUUGCCACAUUAUUGAUCCGCAUCUGUGACAGAAGAAGAGAUGCAGAUCCAACCCGAGGAUGUGCACGAUCACAUGAUGGGAGAACCAAUUUGUAAGUUAAUAACGCCGUUAGUGCAUUGGAUGCCAUUGGUUAGCAGCUGGGAUUUGAUCGAGACUGUACUGUUGUCGCUAUAUAUAAGGCACGUGGGCCGGUCACAUGAUGAGAGAACCAAACAAACCUUUGCGGGACCCAAAAGAUGCUCUGCCCUAUUACAGAAAAGAAGUGCAUCACAUGAUCCGCCCUUUAUAUAUACACGGGCGACACCUCACCAGUACAGCGUGUUGGGCGACGUGCACAUGCUAAUUAGUAGGGAUACUCCCUUUCUCUUCCGAUAGAUCUAUUUUACCACACAAUGACCAUAGAGAAGGAGCAUACUCCUCAUCCAAUUAACCGUGUCAUUAUGUACUCUUGUUAGCGGAAACGAUUUUCCGCAAUGACUCAUUAAUAUCUAUGCCAUCAUAUCACUACAACGCAAAUCUCAUGUAUAGAUUCUUUUGUACAGACAUUUUAUGAUUUGUCCAUAUGAAUAUAUCUUAUUGUAUUAUAAAGACACUCUUUGUGGCAUUUUAGAAAGUAUCAUGUAUAUUGAGACACUAUAUGAGUUAUUUUCAACCAUAGUGACAUAUGCUUAAGUUAUUUUGUAAAAUGCCAAUAUAGAUUAUUAGGGACAUCCUUGAGACACACUUUAAUAUUUGACCUUACUCCCAUAAAGACAUAGUUUAAUUCAAUCACUUUCAAUGUUACACUAAACGCUAAACAAUCGGUCACCUACCGUUUAGCUCUUUAUUCGGACUAAACGGCUAAUUAAACGGGUUAAACGGCCAUGAAAAGCACUGUGUAGCAUAUAAACAGCGUGUAAACAGGCUAAAUGGCCAUGUACGUGAACACUGAUCACUUUAAUAUUAAGACAUUGUUUAGGCUAUUAAGGUACUCAUAAGAACUAUACUAAGUAAAUAUGCAACAAUUAGUCUGAGGUUGGGUUAGCUAGUAGGUGGGGUAUUAUGCAGUGCGGUAUGGGGUCUCGAGUUUGAAGACCCAUCACUGUUGGCGGCAGUUAGCGCGCCAAUUUGUAUGAACCACAAGUGCACGGAUCAAUUGUAGCUUUUACCCUAGAGUAUUCCCCUAAGAUUUUAUCAAUCCGUGGAACAAGUGGGAUGCAGCGCUUAACUAAGCACUAAUUAAGAUAAUCGAAAAGCUCUAUAUAUAUGAGAAAAAUUAAGUGUAUGAAAAGAGCUAAUUGAUCUAGGUUAAAACGAGCGGAGAUAUAGAUAUAAUCGAGGUAUGUGGAACACUUGUCCAAGGGAUCUAGGAUCACCGGCAAUGCAAUAGCCAUAUCAUCUAGGGUAGAUGGGUACCAUGCUCAACGCUUUCCCUCCCAAAUAUUAUCACUACACGAGGGUAAUCAACUAUUGAACAAAAAGAACACGUUGCAUUGAUGGUUCUAGGCAUGCAAUUAUCAUAACACUGCAACCCAAAGUAGCAUUGGCCAGCCAUUUCAUGUAAAAGCAUUGUCAACAAAUAAAUGAUAACAAAUUGAUCUCAACAAAUGGUUUGGCAAUUACAAAUCAAGAUCUCCCUUCAACCCCAAGGAUAAAUAGACUUUACCCCAUGAUCCUAUAUAUGUUGACGCACAAAGAGGUAAUGAAGACUCUGGAGAUCAACCAGAUCGAAGGGGAUGACGAACAAGCACUAGAAGACCUCAGGACGAUCGGCCUAACCACCCCCAAGCUGAUCUACUAGGGGUAUUUCCUCCUCUUGAACUCCGCCUCAACUCACCUUCUGUAGAUCUGAUAUCUUCUCUAUUCCUGAACUUGUGGCAGCAGUAGAAUGGUGUACGCGCGGUUCUUGGGAGAUUCUCCUCUCUUCUUCUAACUGUGGUCCUUCAGGGGAUAUUUAUACUCCUUUUCCAGUUCGUUGGGAGGUGGAUCUGAGCGAAUAGUCGCUAGAAAAACCCUAGGAUAUUUGUAGACAUCACGCUAAAGAAAUGGAAGCACGAACAGGCCCUGGAACAGGCGAGGUCAAUCGGCCCAGAGGGUCCUAGGCCAAUGGGCCUAGGCUCUUUUUGGCCCAUCUAGUUCUCUCCUGUCAUGUGCUAGCCUUCCUUGAUGAUCCAUGUCCAGUUAUGAAUUGAGCUCCAUAUGAAAGCCCUCCGGAUAUGUUUUAUUUACUGUCAAAACACAAUAUUCUCCAAAAUACUAUACAUAUGCAAUAAUGGGGUUAUUUCACAUGCUAAGGGGCAGGUUAGUAUAAGAAUUAAUCUAAAAACACCACAUAAAAAGCACUAAAAGGGUGGCAAUAAUGAGUGCCAACAACCCCCUCACGGUUAGCUCUUGCUUAUCCUACAGCAAGUCAGGCGACCACAAACUUCCAAUGGGGUUAAACAAAGAUCUUGAAUUAAGACAACCCAAAGCAAGCGAAGCAAGUACUGAGCCUUUUAAGUAAAAAUCAGAGAAGCUGCAGAAAUAAUCCAAGUAUGGGUGUUCAAAGGAUCAUCUAAGAAAUAAUGCCAGCCCCCACAGCUUCUCAUCUAGAACUAGACAACUUCAAUCAAUGAUACUUACUUUGUGGUUUGCCAUGGAGGGUUUUUCUUCUUCUAUUGUAAAAACAAUCUCCCUGCACCAAGAAUUAUAACCAAAAUUUUAUUCCAGCUACUCACAUUAUGCACAAUACAAAGUGGCUAUCCUAUUUGAUUUGCAAGCUCUCAUCGCUUUAUAUAUCUCCUAGGUAUAUAGUGGAGCUUGGACAAGGUUAGCAAGAGUUAACACACAAUACUAUCAAGCUAAGAAAACUCUAACGGUUGCCUACCUUCUAAGCCAAUGAUCAUGAGAAUUUCCACAUAAUGAGAGGUUUUCAAGGAUGAGAAGAUAUAGAAUGGUGGACAUGUGCAAAGGCAAUAAAAAUAAGUGACUCUGAGGCAAAGAUGUCAUCCUCAUUAUCGGAAUCAACAUGGUUGGAAUGAAGAGGUCUUCCAGCCUCGGCUCAUACAGAGAAAAAUCCUAGAGCUAUCUCGGAGUACUCUACUGAUAUUUAUGAAUGUGUUUUCUUCAAAGAAAGUUCCGAGAAGAGAAGGAAAAUAAACAAAGAAAGAAAAAAAGAGAAAAAAAAGAAGGAAAAAGAAAUAGAAAAGAAAGAAAUAAGAAAAGGAGUUUUUAGUAUCGAGAAAAAAAAAGUGUAGAGAAAGAUUGCAUUACUGCUUAGAGAACGAAGGCCUAGAGGAGUCUAAGCCUAUCGGCUUGGCCUCUUCUGCCCUCCUCUUUAGCUUGUCUUGCUAGUAUAGAUAUCUUGUGAUAUUCAUAGCUUAUUUAUAUGCCAUCCAUGACAUGAGAUGGAAUAAAUCUUCAAAUAUUGGGUUGUGUUUAAGGAAAAGGUAAUAAAACUGAGAAUUUUUUGUUCAAGUUUUAGAAUUCAGUAGAUCACAUGAGUGAUCCAAUUAAGAACUCUCAUUAUUGAAUAUUGAUGAGGCUAGCAAUAAGAGAUGAUAGUAAGGACAUGAUUGAUACUUAAAUUAAAGCUUCCAAGAGAGCGAUCAUAACCCAAUUCAAUGCAUCAAUUCUGCAUAUGGUGGAUAGGAUAGGCAAAACUCUCAACCUUGUAGCAAACUGAUCAACUAGAUUUUGUAGAGGUUUUAGAUAAGCAAUUAAAACUAAAAUAACCUUCAAUUUAAACCUUACUCAUAUCCGAAUCACUAGACCAUGCUAGAGCAUGGGUAUUGCAUAGAUAAAUCAAUUACUAAGCUCCACAACAAAGAUUUUAAACUUAACACAAGGCUCAUGAUCAAAUGCUAUAAAGACAAAGUAAAAGACAAGAUUGCAAAGGUAGAAAAGAAAUUAAAAACACAUUAGCAUGAUCCUCAAAUUUUAUUCAUGCUUCUUCCCAUGAAGACUCUUGUUGGCAGUAGUUAGUGCGCUAGUUUGAAGUGCAAGCGCACGGAUUUAGUCAUAGCUUUUCCCUUAAAGUGUUCCCCUAAGGUUUAUCAAUCCAUGGAAAUAAAGUCACAUGCCCUAAACUAACUAACUAAUUCAGGUUGCAAGAUGUUUGUGAAUAGACAUGAAGAUGAGCAGAUGUGAACAAGAUGUAACUCAUCUAUAGCAAAGCCUAGACUAUGCAUAUGUUGUAGUUCUAGCUAGAUGGCAAGCAAAACAUAGUUCUCAUUCAAAGCAUCUUUAAAGCAUCAUCUUCGAUCUGACUCCCGAAAACCCCCACCUUACACGGAAGCAGACCCUGUCUUGAUCCCCCUAUCGAUGCAAGCAGUUUAAGGGCAUGAAAUAAAGCACAUGUCUAGCUGUUAUGAUAGAUCAGGCAUGCAAUUAUAGUCACCAUGACUAGAAGAACACCCUAUGCAAUCAACAAGAUUCAUAAAAUAGAAUAACCAAACUCAUAACAGUAGAAAUCAUAAAAGGAGGCAUAUGGAUCACUAUUGAAUAGGAACUCAUCUAUUAAUUCACCAGGAAUAAUUGUUCAUCACAAGAUCUCCACUAAGGUCAUACCUACGACUUAUGAGUCCUAACUCCAGAACUUUGACAUGGAUCUUCCUCGUAGGGUGAUCACGCUGGCCAGAGCCUAGCCUAAGCUAGCCUCCAGACAAACCGCAUGGCCCUCAGCUCUCUGUAGAUGGUUGUCCCUCAAGUUCCCCAGCUUCUGUUGUGAAUUGUUCUCUUCAUGCCGAUGGAGAAUUGGGAUAUUUAUACCUGGAGAGGCCGCAGUCCAAAAGGGAAAUUGAAUGGGCGAGAGAAAGGCCCAGGCCGAUCAGCCUUGCCCUUCCUUUUUUUCCUCUCACAUCCUACUUCGCUGCCAAGUCUUCUCUAAUCUUUUGGAGUCUUCUUUUGUCUUUCAUGUGGGUCUAGCUCGUCAAUAUCCUCUAGAUAAGAAUGGAUCUUGAUAACCUUCCAAAUUGUUGCUUGCUUCAUCUUGAUCCCGAGUUCAACUUGUCAUAUCUUCAGAAACUUAGCUAAGUCUUCCUAGAGGAAUGCUUGCCGAAGAUGAGCAUGAAUGGGCACCAUGGGACCCUAGUCCGAUCGGCUUAGGCUCCAUAGGCUGAUCGGCCUGGGCCUCUUUUAGGUCCAUUGGCCUUCAUCCUUUUCUAGGUUGUCAUUGAUUCUAGACUUCAUCAAAUUAUGCUCCAAUAUAGUCCAAUUUUCUGCGAAAACAGAACAUCCUCCAAAAUGCAAGGCAUAUGUGAAAAUAGCUUGAUUGCUAGGUAUGAUCAAUGUAAAUGGUGUCAUUUGUAUGCCAAUAUUGAAGAUAAACAGGGGUUAAAGUGUGUCAAUAACGAGCGCCAACAACGCUAAAGUACUGAUCUAGUCCUAAGUCUUCCCAUAAGCUUAAGAAUACUACUACUUUAUCUACUUUUGAUUCAAACCAAACACUAAUUAAGACUCACACAAAUUGACUCGACCUCGACCGAACUGACUCCGAAAAACUCAACACGAGAAGUAAACUCCCCCCCCUAAUGCUCAAAUCUUAUGACAUCCUCAUCGUAAAAGCAUUUAGUACAAAAGGGUAAGAUGCUCGUAUAUGCACUAAUCUCGCUUGCCGCACUAACACAAGGGGCGGAUGCUGCUUUCUUCCCCGUUGCUCUUGUCCUUCCUCAUGUUGUUGCACAUCCCAAAGAUCCUCCUCACAUUCUUAAGCAGGAAUUUGUUGUCAUCCUCCUAACGACGCUCGUUCUUUUCCAUCUUCUGGCUCAGCUCUUCCAUUGCCUCUUCUUGAGGAGCCGACAUUUGGUUUGAGCUUGUGAUCUUCACAAGAUUGGUGUUGAUCCCUUUCUGCCUCUUCUUGAGGGAUAAUAUGUUUUUGUCUCAGUUGUGUAGAGACGUUGCCCUUGUCUUAGGGGACCGAGACUUCGAAUUUCGAGUGAUCUUGUGUCUGCCUUUUACCCUUGGUAUUUUGAUUACUUGAAUGAGCCUUUCUUUUUUCUUUCCCCUUCUUUUCUUCUUUUCAACCUACGAAUUUGUGUUGGGUGUUGUCAAUGCACUCAUCAAGGGGGAGAUUGAGGACCAAUGGUGGUCAUCCUUAGAUGAUGAGUGAUUGACAAUGUUGUGUGGAAUGAUUUUGCUUGGCUUGUGAUGUGCAGGUGUAGGAUGUGACAUGGCGGCCGAUGACGUGCAGUGAAGGUCAAACGAAAGCUUCAUGCCGAUGGAGCAAGGGUGGUGAAGGGUAAACGUGAGUAGGCUUGAACCGAGGGACCCGAGGAGUUCAGGCAAAGUCAUGGGCAAUCCACAUGGUGCAUGGAAAAGUAAGAGAACAUGACGGGAUGGAGACGGGGUCGGUCGAGUCGAGCGGGAGGCUCGGCGGAGGUCAGACACGCGUCGACAUCGAGGAAGUCGCGUGGCAGCCAAGCGGAGAUGGCCGGUUUGGGUGGUUUGGGCCUCAAAACCACUGCGCAGGUAAGUUUCUCGAUUUGGGCCUCAAAAUCAGGGGCGAGCUCGUUGCGGCUGGAGCUUCGAGAAGGAGGGCACGUGGCAUCAUCGCGAAGCUUGCGUCGAGGCGAAGCAAAGUCGUGAAGGUGGCGUGUCCGUCCGAUGCGUCUAAAAAAACUAGACUAAAAUGCCCCUGCGUGGGCGGUUAUCCUAGUUAUAGCUAUAGGGGUAUUUUCAUCAUCAACCAGAGACUAUAUAUGCUAGAGUUGGCUAGUUUAGAUGUGUGCUUGGAACCCUAAUUUCAUUUGUUUAGAGGCUAGCCAAGUGCUUAGAGAGAGGUGAGGAGGUAGAUGAGAAUCUAGCCUCGUGAUUUAGUCAAAUUUGUGGUUCAAAUUUGUGGCUAAAUCUUUUGUUUCUUCCUUUUUCUUUUUAGUAUUUUCAGAGCUAUUUUUGGGGAUUUUUGAGAUUUAUUGGGGAAAAUUGUUGUUAGAACCCUUGUGAGCAUCUUUGAUGUGAUCUCCAAAUCCCUCACGAAUUUAGCUUGAAUUUGAGUUUUUCCCAAACCGUGUUAUUCGUAUAGUGUUUCGGUUAUCUCCAAAAUUCGUGAUGGAUACUUGAGUUUUUCGAGAUCUUUGCUAGGGAUCUAUUAGCCUUUAGGGUCAGCGUGGUCAGCGGGCCGCUCGCUCGCCAGGGUCAGGCAGCGACUCAGGCCUGCGCAGCAGCAGGGAGGCGGCCUAGCAAGCGGCUCAGCAGGCCCAGAGAAGCAGGCCGCGUGCUCCAGGCGCGAGGCAGGCUGAGCGCGACGCAGGCCGGCAGCAGCAAGCAGGCCCAGCAAGCCAUGUGCUAGCAUCAGGCGGACCAGCGACAACAGCAGCAGGCCAGCAGGCCGUGCGCUAGUGCCAGGCUAGUGAAGCGGGCCAGGUGCAGUGGCCCACACGCGCAACCAGACCAAGCACAGGCGGCCCAAGUUCCCAGGCAGACAGGCGGCCCAGCUGGCACAGAGCAGGCCACCAGGAAGACAUCCACCAAGCACAGUGAGCUUAAUCAUUUAGUCCUCUGUUAAUUCUUACACUUUACUAGUUAAUCAUUGUCAUCUUGUUUAGCUAUUUAUACAGUACUUUGCCUUGCUAAUCCUGAGAUGCUUAGUCGAGUAACCUUUAGUUAAUCCUUCCAUGUCUAAAAAGUAAGUGGUUAGUGUCUUUACUUCGUCUCAUUUGUGCAAGUUUGUUGGAGUUACUUUAUGCUUUGCUUGCGCUAUGUAUUGAGAAUAUCAAAUUGUUCCUAGGCUGAACUUGUCACGAGUUGACUUGUAUCAUCUUGACUAUUUGACGAGUUAACACUAAGUGUGUUUUGGGAUGGUAGUUGGGACGUAGGUCUUGUUCUCCUAGAAGAAUUUUAAAGGCUCCCCUUCCCCCUAUGGUCGUUUCCUUCAGUCUCCGAUGAGGGAUCAUCGGUGACGCGGAAAAUUCGCGUCUCCGAUGUGAUUUACAUCGGUGACGAAAAUUUGGUGACAUGAAUUUUUUCAGUCUCCGAUGAAAGUUGAGCAGCGUCUCCGAUGCUGGAUUGGCACCGUGGGAGCGCUUGGUGCAGCCCUUUUCUGCAGAUGACGUGUGGUCUUCUGUUGCUUGGGAGCAAGCUCCGCAUGUCCGCAAGAUCUGCGGCCUUUUGUUGAUUAUGUCGAAUCAUGUCAAGGGUCUUGGGAUCGUAUAUGGCUGCGCCUGCUCUCACCCUUGAUUGUCAUCGGGCCCUAUGGGGUAGCAGUGGCUCCCGGCUUCCACAACCCCCUCGUAGUUUCUUCCGAAACCGCUCAUGGGAAGUUGUCUGAGCUGCAGCUACUCACACUCAGCCCAGACGGCAGAGAAACAGCUCCAAAGCAGCUCCGGUCUUCUGGUGCUCCGGUAGCUCUGGAUUCAACUCAUCUAAGCGAUGGUCACGGUCAACAACCAGACCUUGAAUAAAAAAGGAGGCACAACUUACAAGAAGUCAAAACAAGCCGGUCGGAUAAAAUCAUAAGACAGGAAGGAUUUACAUGCAAUAACUCCUGGGCGUCCCGCACUGAAUCUUUUAGCGGCUCCCCAAUACGUCUAACCAAUCUCUUGAGAACAAAGGAAUAGUGACGAAUAGCAUAUUCCAGAAAUAAUACACUAUUAUGAGCCGGGUACUCUACGUUACCUCAACUCUACCGCCAAAUUCCUGACGUAAGGAAGUUUACACUGUGAUUAUUCAGAAUCCUAGCUAGUUUUAUCUCAAAGGCAUGUCAGAGAAGUUACCUAUGACAAAUUCAGCUAUAAACAACAGCUAUCACCAUGGCAUGUAUGUCUACAAAUUAAGUGUUGCCUUGCAAUGAUCCUUGUAGAGAAACAUUGACUUGGGUCUGGUAACAUGCAUGACAUGACUCAUGAAUGCGCCUUCUCGUCAUUUAUUUGCGCUCUGAGAUAUUUAUCUGAUGCAAGAACAAUUGCAGAACCAUUCUACAGCAAACAUAAGAAUGAAAGAUAAAAUUCCUCACACAUAAAGUUUUGGUCCAAACGAAAUAUCAAAUAUAAGGUCUGAGUUACUGGAACGGAGACAUCUAGCCCAGCGCCCUGCAUUUGAAGAAUGCACACGGUGGCCAGUUUAUUACAAAUUCAAAUUCGAAGGAAAACAAAAGGAUUCAGAAGACAUAUUUAAAAAUGAUGAAACACCUCAAAGACUUAACGAUGAAUAACUCAAGAGCCAGGAGUGGUGUAAGUCAGAUGAGGUUCCUCACGUUGCUCCAUUUGCACUAUUAUUUGUGUUCGCGUGAUCCACUUGGGUUCUUUGGUCUGAUUUUGACAUUUAGGUAAAUUUCCUGAUCUGGUUUUUCGAAAAACUUCCCCCAGACCUUAUCGUCAUCCACGGCCAUUGUGCCACUGUUCAAUUUUGCAAUUAUUAUCAUUGACUUAUUUUCAUCCUCGGUAUAGCCAAGUUUCGUCUUGAUUGUUUCCCUAACUUCGGCAAAGCUCAUUGUCUUGGAUGCCACAAAAGAGGUUCCAUCAACGUCCCACUCAGCUGUUACAGCCACAAUUUUUUCAACCGCAUCUGUGAAAGUGAGAAACAUGUGUAUGAAAACCAUGAAUUGAUUAAUCAAGUGUUUGAAGCUUUAAGAAAAGCAUGGUUAAACCAUCUUUUUUCCGAUUCUUUCGCUAAUGCAUGCAUGCAUUGGAUUAAUUGAUCUAUUGAGUUAUACUUGAUUGAUCAUGCCGAUAAAACUGUGGAUCUAUGUAAAUACAUGUUGAUCGAAAAGAACUAGAUUGAGGGAGUGAAGGAAAUGUCCACUUGCAUGCAACGAUUGUAAAAGUUUUAUGAAUUAGGGUUAGUUAUUGAAUUGCAAUAGAUGACCAUGAAAUGGAAAAGCAGUCAAAUAUACAGAGCUUUUUUGUGAAACAUAUCAAGUUCUCUAAUUGCAUGAUUUUUAUUUAAUUAUUGAGAAAGAGUGGGGAAUCAAAAAUCGAGAGUCAAAUGUACCUGAUUUUGGAGUUUAGAAAUUAAAGCAGCACUUAAAUGUAUGUCAUGUGCACUAUAACAUGCAUGAACAAAUUUCCUAUGGAAUAUGCAUGUACUUAUAAAUUCCAAACUGGACACUUACAAAGCAGCAUACAUGUGGUCUAUACAUAGAACUGCAAGACCAUCUUAAAAAUGGUUUAUACUGAUAAAACAUUAUCUCCUGGAACCAUUGAUAGAAUGUCAAUCAUCAGUGGUUCACACGUCCAUGGAUCUAUGAUGGAGGGUAGAGAAUUUUGUACAAUUAUGACUGUAAAAUGACAACUAACGAUUCCACAAAGUACAAUUAAUAUAAUUUGAAAUAAAAUUGCUCCUGGCUGAGAUCCGAUAUAAAGACAUAGAUGAGUAUUAGUAAAUAAAGACAUUUGACAUUUGACUGCACACUAUUUUUGCUUUAAUUUAAUUUAUAGCUACAUGCAUUCUCAAACUUGUUGAAUUCGUUACUGCGGCUAUACCUUCCACUGCUUGUUUUUGUCUUGGAACACUGGAAAGUGUUUCCGAAGGUUGUUGUGGAAUUUGCCCUCUCUUCGUAGGAAGUUCGUUUGGCGACAUACCAGGAGAACCUUUGUCAUAAACAUAACGAAGGAAAGUAAGAACUAUAGCAUUUGUUGCAUGUAUCAUUUUAACCACGUCAAUGGUAAGCCAUAUAUGCAACUACACAAGGACAUAAUAACAAAGGAUUUGGGGCUUACCACCGGUAUUACUAGCUGCAGCCGUUGUCCAAAGAGAAGAUAGAUUGGAUCCGGACAAGUGUCCGCUCCAUGGUUUAUAUAGCAUGAGCUCAUACGAGACAACAAAAAGAAUUGGAAGUGGCUUAAAACAAAACGUGAGGUUCCAUUGACUUAAAUUCCCCAGUAACCGCGACGUGGUUGGGUUCCUUGAGGUGAAAUCUGUUCACCUAGAUUCGAGUCAUAUACUCAUAUUAACAUGUGGCUUAUUUUAGAAUUUAACGGUACUACGACGUGCAUGUAAAUACCGAGAUAUGUAUGUUGAUUUUGUCAAUCUCAAGAUCUACCAGCUCAAUCUCUCGAAUAUCUUCGUAAUGAUAGAUUGUGCGUACCUUCAUUCAUAGGGGUAAGUGUGCUUAAGUCUAUGUAUAUGGGUCUAUGCUUGUGUACAGUAUUUCAAAAAAAAAGUGUUGAUAGGGGUUGGAUGUGCAUACCUACAUUCAUAGGGGGUGGUGAGUGUGCGUAUACAUAUGUGUGUCUACUUUAAAAAAAUGACAAAACAUGUAGGGUGUGCAUACCAACAGUUACAGGGGUGAAUAUGCAUAUGUAUAUGUGUGUCUCUACAUGUAUACUGUGUUUCAAUAAAGAAAAUCCCCAGUAGCCUGCACCAUUGAUGCUAGACAUCAAGCAACUUAAGUGAGCCUGACAGAGAAUAUAUAGGCUAUGUAUACGCUAGGGAAGAUGUCAGCCAUAAUGUCCAUUUGAUGACUAUUAUAAGAAAUUGUGGCUCAUGCACCAACCCAAGUGAAAAUUUUCAAUCUCCUUUAUGUUUUUCCUCAAUUCCCCCUUUAUUCUCCUCCCUCUCCCCAAAAGAAAAGGAGAGACACAUCCUCUCUUGUUUCCCUCCCGCAUCCUCUUCUGUCCGUGACUACUCCCCGUGCAUGCCUGUUCAGGUCAAGUGCUGCCUCCCUCAUGAUCCCAGCAUGUGUCGCCCUAGGCGAGGCCACGAAUAGACUGCCUGCGUAAUUCCCCCCACCUUCCAUCACCCACUACACCCAUGGCACAAAGCCGCCACCUAGGGGGCUGCCCACCGCCACGUUCACAUGUUGUUGCCUCCUUACCUGUACCGACUGUGCAUCCAUAGCUCUCAAUGUCGUUUGUGCAUUGCCCGUGUCUUGCUACUACUCAUCUAUCGACCCAGCACAUCCGCCAUUACUCACCGCGUGCACCCCAUUGAGUCCGUCACCGUCGACCUCCGUGACGGGUGCAUCCAUGUCCCUGCCUCUGCCAUUGCCAGCCAUUGCACCUGAGCCCACUUCACCGGCAUAUCGCCUCAUUGCAAGCCAGGCCUCACCACGUGUGCCGCUUCUCUACGCCAUGUGUGUGGGGCGAGAGAUAGAGAGAGACAAGAACUGACAUGUGGGUACCCACAUGUCAGUGGAGAUGAAAGGGAAAGGAUAUUUAAUGCUUCGCGCACCUACCCCGAUAUACUAAAAUUGUGAAAGAGAAUUCCCUAUAUAAAAAAAAAGUGUAUAAAGGAGAAAUGUUAGAGCUGCCACAUACUCCCUCUAUCUCAAAUUACAAGUGGUUUUGCUUUUCUAGAUUCAUAGAUUUUGCUAUGCACUUAGAUAUAUAUUAUGUCUAGAUGCUAGGUGCAUAGUAAAUGGUAUGAACCUACAAAACCCAAAACGACAUAUAAUUUGGGAUGGAUGGAGUACCUUAGAUCUAGUCUAUCAGUACGUUCAAUUGUUGUGAUGAAUAUACAACUAUAAUGCGGUGUUAUGGAAUUAUAGUUUUCAUUUAUAUUUUCUUUGAACAACUUUAUCUUAGUACGCUGCAGAAGUUGACGGAUUCUAACAAGUCUUGUCAGGUCUCCUUUUAUUUCCUUUUCUUUUCAAAGCAACCGGACCAACUAAUUGGGCAAACAGCUGGAUUUGCGCUAUUUUACUUACCAACAAAGUCUGACAAGCAAGCGAAGUGUUAAAAAAUGAAACUUCUACUACAGCCCGCAAAUACGCUUUACUGCAUGUGCAUGUUACAGAGCAAUUAAUGGCGGUGCAUACUUUAUACCGGCAUUUUUAGAGAUACAGUCAAAUACGAUGUACAUCUAUCUAACUAACAGAAGUUUGACUUCCAGUACAAAAAUAUAUCCAGUUCGUUUAAAACUAAAAGGGUGUUUGGGAACACCCUAUUAAAGUUUAACACCUGUCACAUCGGAUAUUCGGAUGCUAAUUAGGAGUACUAAACAUAAGCUAAUUACAAAACUAAUUGCACAGAUGGAGUAUAAUUCCCGAGACGAAUCUAUUAAGCCUAAUUAGUCCAUGAUUUGACAAUGUGGUGCUACAGUAACCAUUUGCUAAUGAUGGAUUAAUUAGGCUUAAUAGAUUCGUCUCGCGAAUUAGCACAAGGUUCUGCAAUUAUUUUUAUAAUUAGCUCAUGUUUAGUCCUCCUAAUUAGCAUCCGAACAUUCGAUGUGACACUGUUAAAGUUUAGCCCCUCGUAUCCAAACAGCCUCUAAAAGCUGGUUGCUGCCAGAGCAGAGACGAUAGCAUAUUCGGUAUUACUCCCUCUUCAUGUUCUUGUGCUUCCCAUACGUUAGUGGCGAUUCAACAUCUUGUUUGUUUUUAUCAAAUGAAUCAUGAAAAAAGUAAUCGUUUUUCUGAUGUGGACUUAAAUGCUGGCAAGUGUUAGAAAAAAAUUAUUCAGUCCAAAUUAGCUUUAUCUUCGAAGUCCAUUUCUUUGAUUUUGGAAUAGAGCCCUACGUCAAUUAACCCUUACAAGAUGCUACUAGAAAAUUGGCCUUUUAACACCGGCUGAUAACCCCUCCUAAGUACUGGAUGUACAACCAGUAAUGUGAAAUUGAGACUAAUAACAUUGGUCUUGAGUUUAGGGAGGCCUACACACAAUUUAUCCUAAAGUCACAGGUCAUACGAUUUUUUCCUGAAAUAUGCGCACACGGUGCAUAUGAUUCGAACACAAGACCUCUCACCUUGUAUGUAGUAUCCUUACCAUCUCAUCUACUCAGGAGAUUUAAUUUAGGUAAGACAUGCUUUCCUUAAAUUCACCCGUGGAGAUUCUAAGACCUCCAAAGGUUCCAUCCACCAUAUAUAUUCGUGCCAGUAUAUAUAUGUGGUGGAUGGAAUGUACGUAGUGAGAAGGCCACGGGUGGACCUGUGGCAGAGGGUUUCAUCCUACACGAUUGUUCCAGUUGGGGACCUAAAAGUUUUAGCAAGAUAUAUAUAUAUAAAAGACAUACAAAGAUCAGUAUGCGCUACCAGCCAAUAUAUUGUUUUUUUACCGUAAUCAGCGGGGAAGCCCAACCUAUUUUUAAUAUAAUUUUUUUAAGAUCUAUUUAAUUCGCUCCCAUAGUCGUAGACCUAUUGGAUGCUACUCAGUUGCUCUAUCCAUCCUUUCACAACAACCAAUAUAUUGUUACAAUCUUAUGAUCUACAAUACAACAAAGAUAUUUUGGAUCAAAUUCCCGUGUAAAGCGAUGAUUACAAACAACACUAACGAUGCUAUCUAUCAACAAUCGGACAAGUGAGUCCAACUAUAUGUGUGCUAGGCAAGAUAUGUCCGUCAAAAUGUCCAUUUGAUGAAUAUUUGAAAUCUUUGUGGCUCAAUAAUCUUUAGAAAACCUUUUUUAAAUCAGUCGAUAGUAGUUCUUAACUAUCAUCGACCAACACUACAAAAAACGAUUUGUAAGCGUGCCCCAUUUUCUUUUUAGGUCGGAUCGAACGGUUACCCGCUCCUACAAUAAGAAUCGGUCACCGUAGUUUCCGACCUGCCACUGGAUAUUUCCAAGGACGGAAGGGGCAUGGGGUGAGCCGCUCCUAGAAAUAGGAGCUAUUUCCAACGAACCGUUCCUGAAAAUCUGGGUGGCUUGGAUUUCCAGGAGCGGACGGAAUGGUCGCCCGAUCCUGCGAAAACAAAAGAACAGAGCCCGGCGCCUCACUCACAUGGUGCGCUCCACUCCCAUUCUACCAAACCUUAUCUAUUCUCAGAUCUUAUCUCGUCCCAUUCACCUCUAGCCUCCCUUCCACUCCUCUCUCUCCUUCUUUCUCUCUCCUCCACAGGUGGACGGCGCGUCCCUGAGCACCGGCCCUGCGGGCGGCGAGUGCGGACCUAUGGUCGGCCGGCUGGCCGGCAAGCGGCGCGAUCCCUGCCUCGGCCAGCUCCCCGGCGCAGCGCGGGGCGGGGCCCGAGACUCGGCCGGCCGGCCGGCGAGCCGCGGGGCGGGCGGUCGGCUCCCCGACGCAGCGCAGCACAGGUCCCCCUGCCUCGGCCAGCUCCCUGGCGCAGCGUGGGGCGGGGCCCCUUGCCUUGGCUCGCCGGCGCAGAGCUUCUUUGACGGCGGCGCCCCCUCGUGCUGCUCCGGCAGCCGCACCUAGGUGGUAGCGGCACGGCGGGGGGCCCCGGCUGGCGCGGAGCUGCUCCAGCAGCAGGGCGCGUCUCGGCAGCCGGCGCGCAGGCCCGCGUGGCGGCGCAUGGAGGCGAACCCCAGCGGCGGCCGUGGCAAGCGAGUGCGUGAGCUGGCCGCCGUCGGCGCAAGGUGGCCCAGCCCCAUUGGGAAGCGACACACUGGCGGCCCAGCGCCGUGGGGAAGCGACGCGGCGGCACUCGGGAUUGUAUUUUUUUGUUUUUUAUUCAACUAGGAUCGUGCCUGUGCGUUGCUACGGGCAACAAAACAUUUAUAUUAUAAUAGAAAUGCCCGUGCGUUGCUACGGGUCAUUACUUGCUGUCACGUUAUUAUACGUUUGUUCGUACCAUUUUUGAACUUUGAACAAGAAUUUUCAUUUGCAAGACCUGCGCUCUCUGUGCCCAAUGUUGCCCAUCAAGCUUAGCACAAAUAAAUAAUCGAAAACAAUCAAUGGAGUAUUUUUCAGACAUAAGGAAGUAAUUUUCCCAAUAAAAACUUUUUGUCACUUUAAUUACUAUCAGGGACACUUUUCUUGUCUAUCUUUACAUAUUUCCUAUCAAUGCUCUUCUUCCCUAACAGCAAGCAGACAGCAAGGAAAUCCAUAUGUUUCCGAGUACAGCAAUCAAGGCAUACCAUUUAGAAAGUGUGUUUUUUUUGUUUGCAGGAGAAUCACCUAUUUGAAACAGAAAUAAUAAAUGUCAACAACAGUUAUCCCACACAUUCACAAAACCGGCAACUCCAACGUUCCGCUCAGGGGUCGGACACUCCCGACCCCAGGACUCAGGGUCGGGCGAGGCGGAGCUUCACUCGGGGGUCGGGCGCAUCCGACCCCGGGACCAAGGGUCGGGCGAGGCGGAGUUCCACCCUCAAGGGGUCGGGCGCAUCCGACCCCGGGACCAAGGGGUCGGGCGCAUCCGACCCCGGGACCAAGGGUCGGGCGAGGCGGAGUUCCACCCUCAAGGGGUCGGGCGCAUCCGACCCCGGGACCAAGGGUCGGGCGAGGCGGAGUUCCACCCUCAAGGGGUCGGGCGCAUCCGACCCCGGGACCAAGGGGUCAGGCGCAUCCGACCUCGGGACCAAGGGUCGGGCGAGGCGGAGUUCCAUCCCGCAGCUAUGUAUACAGGCAAGAACGCAACCUCGAUUCCGAUCCAAGUCGGCCUCGAUUCCGAUCCGAUUCGGCAGCGAACUCUCCUGGCAGUCUGGCCCCGACUCAGCCUCGAUUCCGAUCCGAAUCGGAAGCGAGCUCUCGUGGCAAUCUAGCCUCCACUCCAAUCGCUGCCCGCUUCGCUGCCGCCUCGAGGAUGCGCUGGCCAUUACCGAGUCGACACAAUCGGCGUCGCGCGGGUCCCUGAAGAUGAUGAUGGCGUUGAUGUCGGAGGACGGCGGAAGGUCGUCGGUGGACAUGGGGUGGAGGGCGAAGGUGGGAAAUGGCCGCAGGCCCCGGAUCCGGACGGAGCGGCGGCGGGAAGUCGACAGAGGAUGAUGACGUCGAUGUCGGAGGAUGGCGGGAGGUCGUCGGUGGACAUGGGGUGGAGGGCCGGACGGAGCGGCAGCGGCUAGAUCCCCAGAGGGAGGGCGGCGGAGGAAGGGGAGGGGAACAAGGGAGCUAGGUGGAGGGCCGGACGGAGCGGCGGCGUCUAGAUCCCCCGAGGGGCGGGACCGGAGCCGGACGGAGUGCGGCGGAUCUCGAUCCCCCGAGAGAGGGGAGGGGAACGAGGGAGCGGAACUCUUUUCGCUUUAAUCCCUCGUUUUCCUAUUUUUUUCCACUCGAGCCCCCCUAUACUCAGAAUUGGACUGCGGGUUGAUAUCACAAAAUGUUAGGGGUUUUUUUGAAAAAUAGCCCGACAGACGAAAAAUCCAGGCAGAAACGUUACUUGCUUUAAUAAUAGGUAAAGAUUACACAACCUAUACAUGGCAGUCCUUCGUAAAAUUAUGGGAAAAUAUAAAACUAAAUCACCGGUGGAGACUAAGUACUCUAUAGUAGCCAAAAUCUAUUUGCAUCUACAUCACGGGCUUACCUUUUAAUCCUGCACACACUUUCACCGGUGAUUCUCAACUUCUGUCAAAAUGAAUCAUCUAGGACAAGUGCUAUCACUAAAAAUUUUGCUUACAGAAUUGUAAAUCAAAUUAGGAUUAGAAUUCUAACCAGUACAGAGCAUCACUGAGUAGGCUACCAGCUAGUAAAUCAUGCAGCAUGAUUGAGUAACCUUCCAUUAAAUUAAAUAACUAAUCGAAUUCUUAUCCAAAAUAAUAAUCAAAUUCUUGAUUUGCACAAGCCUGAUGUGUGUUUGACUAACUGAAUUCAUACUCAACUAAGAGGUGCCUUUACAAUAAUGACAUCUACAUUCUGGCUUAUACCAUUUGAUUUUGUGGGCAUCCAUUCCAUUAUCAGAUCCCUUAGUCUAUUGGAGCCAAUCAUCAAUGAGAUUCAGGCAUCACCAGUCACCACCACACCCUGCUGGCCACUGCAUGAAUGAAUCUUAUCAGCAUCGGUUAAACAAAAUCACAAAAGGUCACUCCUUUCCACAAUGUGCCCCUCAAUGAUUUAAGCCAAGACUUGAAGUUUAUUAUGAACAUUUCACCCUGCGUGUAGUAGUACAUGGACUACUUAAUCAAGUAGAUCAUCGUAGAAAUUAGGAAAACUGCAUCAUGCCUUAGUGGUGAAAAAGCAAAGGGGAUUCCAUAUUCCUUUCUUAAAAACUGUGAAGCAAGAAGAAAAUAUAAAUCACCUUGUUCCAGUUUUAAAAAGAGCUUCAUAGUGCUUGUGCAAGCAAUACCUUGAACUGAGCCAACUCCCCUGGCUCUUCGAAAAAUAAUGAAAAUAUUUCCUACCCGUUGUAAAAAUUAUGAACAUAAACAUACAUUGUUCAAAAAUUAAUAAUAAUGCUGGUACGUACCAUUUGCUUUGAUCAGAAAUUCAUUGUUGCUUCAGACCACCACUUGCUUUGAUCCUCCCAGUUCAGAAAUUCAUUGUUGAUUCAGACCACCAUUUGCUUUGAUAAUGAGACAGCCAUUCGAGAGCAGCAACUCCAAAGAACAUAGUGAAGUCAAUAAAUAGAAAACCUCCUUAAAGCAACUCAUGCAUCCAGGCACGUACUCGAUUUCAAUUGUGGAAGCAACUGUGUAUAUGAAGAGAGAACAGAAUGCAUCAUAAAAAUCAAAAGUCUAAUUAACCUUUGACAAAAAAAACAUUUGAAUCUGUACACACUUGCCAAGGCCAAAACAUCUCACCACCACUCCAGAUAAACAGAAGCAAUCAAACAUGUUUUUAUUUUUUUUUACAAAUGAAAUACCAAUGAAAAAUAAUUUCUAUGCUCAAUGCACUACAGCCACUAUAAUGAGAAUUGCACAAAUGGAUGCUAGAAGUAGGAACUAACAGAUUUACACAUGCUUAGUCUAUGUACAUCGUAUUUAAAGACUAAUUAACCAGUUAAUUACGACAUUACCAGGCUGCAAUGAGUUCCGUGACUGACAACUGCCCAGGCGUUGCUCUUGUAGGUCCCCCUCCAUCCAGUGAAACUGCAUCCAGGAUGGGGCCUAUUGCAUCACGGGAGCUCCAGCCCCCUGCCGGCAACAUCGUCGUCCCUGUCGUGCUAGUCAUUUGUGUGCUGAGUGGGAGCAUAAAAGAUCUGAACUUGGACCUUGUUUUGAAGGAGAAUGAGUGGAUCCGUUAAUUGGUAGCAAGGAGAGGUUGCUGAUAAGAUUUCAGAACGUACCUAGGAAGAAGAACAAUAGUGAAGCAAUGUUGUUUUGUAGGCAGCCGCACUCGACGGCGUAGAACCAAAGGCGAUGGGCCGGCAUCGUCCCUGGAGGCUUGGAUUUGGCCCCAACCCCGCCACCGCGGGUGCACUUGAAGAUGGUCGUGAUGGUGCGCACACGCCGGACGGCAGCCCGAGCAUGGCGGCCGCCGCCGCGGUGCGCUGGGGCUGCUGCACCCACGGGGCGCCGGGGCCGAAGAAGACUGGGUUGUGGGCGGGCGGGCACGCCGUGGAGGAGGAUGUCGGGGGCGUCACCACCUCCGACCACGCAACCGCACUGUCGCGCCGUGUCCCCGGUCGAUGGGGAGAGGUGGCGCCUCGCUUGAUCCGGCGGGGAUGGAGACCGACGGCGGCGGCGGAGUGGACAGCAAGGGUAGGGAUCUGGUCGGGGACUCGGGGUGGAUGGAGGGGAGGGGACUGCUGGCGGCGGCUGCGAUGCUGGGCGAGGGAGGAGGAGUAGGCGAGCGAGGGGAACAUCGGAUGGCGGAGCGUGAAGCGCGGAGCGCGAGGAGGGGCAGCGGACGGCGCGCACGGUGGGCUUCAAGGCGUUCCAUCGGAGGGCGGACCGGGAUGCGCGGAGGACGCGGGAGCAAGUGGACGGGUGAACGGAGCGGAGGGGCAGACGACGUACGAAGUUUUUUCUCCUCUUUGGUUUUUUUAAGAGUAGAGAUUUCUUCGGGCCGGUCUCGACAUAGCCCGUCACUGGAAAUAGCAUUUGCAGGGCUAGAUCGCCCGCCUCUGCAAACAGCAAUUUCUUUCACAGAAGCGGGCAUCCCGCUCGACCUUGCAAAUACCAUUCAACCGCUCCUGUGCAAACUUUUUUUAAGUAGUGCAACAUAUUCAAAUUAAUUUUAUUCAGCUUCUAUUUUGGUAGGCUGAGAUAAGCAUAAACCCCACAUUCUGAAUGAAUAAGUUAAAAAUGAAGUUUUCACUAAAGAUGUAUUAUUUAUAUCUACUAAACAAAAUGGAUCUGAAUUUGAGAUUCUUUUAUUAUAGUAGCAUGACUGCCUGAGGAAAUGGUCAUGUCCGCAUGCGCUUGCGCGGAGAGGCUGGUGGCUUAGCUGCUUCUGCGAAUGCUAUACCAGCAUGUACAUAUAGUUUUUGUAGUUGUGAUCAAACCUCUGAAUUAAUUUUGGGAAUUUUUCCUUGAUAGAGACAGCAUCCUCCCUCAUGUUUUUAAAAGCGUUUAUGACAAAUAGGCAAUAAAGCUUUUAAAAUUAUGACUUGCAAUAUGUUUUGCACAUUUCGACAUGAUAGGUCAAACAGAACAAAUGUGUCAAAAUUCAUUCAUAGUAAAGUAGUUUUGUUGGCAUACCUAGACAUAUUGAAAUCAAAAUUAUUUGUGUUGUCAAAGUUAUGUUUGGAAACCAUGUCAGUGCAAAAAUAAAAUCUACUUUUCAUGAACAGUCACUACUGCAGAAACAAGCUGUACUUCGGUUCUAAACCAUUUGUACUGGCGGUUUUUGAACAGACUGUAAUGAAACAUGCAUCUGUCCGAAUAGGUAUUGGAACAGACGGUACAGCGGUUCUAGCCACGAACUGUCUUCAAAAAAAUAGAUUCUUACACAAAAAAUAGGAAAACAAAUUUGCACAAGAAGUGUCCAAGGAAUCUUGUUUGCCCUAUAUUUCCAGAAGUCUUCGAUUGACAAUUGAACCUGUAAUUGCGUGCUCGCGCAUGGUGCUCCAUAGCCACUCCACCUAUGCAGUAGAUAUUGGAGAGAUGUUUUUCCUUUUAAUCAUUAUUAGCCGAAACUUUUGAUGAUAAUUUAGAUAUAUAAACAACUUCAUAAAAAAAAGUUGUUUAACUACAAAGUUGGGAUUUCGAUUCCAUUUGUUGAGUUUGUUGCUCUAGUGGUUUUAUUGCUUGUCAACCAUAGACCUUGUUUUCAGCUCGCGGAUUAACCCAAAUACAAUGAAAGUUUUGCCCUAUGUUUGAUCUUUUGUUGAGAAACUUUGUUCAGCUAGGUUCAAUGUUUGGGUAAAAAUAGUUUUCUAUUAGAGGUGAAAGAAUAGUGUGUACCUAGAAAAUAAAAUGUACGAAUAAGUGUUUUCAUAGUCGGUUUGCGGAUAGAAAUUGAGUUAAUGUCAUUUUUAGUAGGUUUUUGUACGGUGAAAAUGCCCUUGAACUUUACCGACGGCUGAUGCCAUUUUCACAGACGAUCUUAAAUUGCCAUCGAUUGUCGAAAGUAUUUGGCAAGGCACUUAGGUCAAAUCCGACUCUGUUGUUUUUUUUAGAAACGACUGUACAGGUGGAUUCUUCAAUAUUGAGUUGAGAAAACAAAUUAAAUCACAUUUUUACUUGAGACCUUACCUGCCACACAAGUCGGUCAAUAGCAUCGAUUCUUGUGUAGAUCCAACUAGUACGAUAUUUAUAGUUUUCGUUUACCUGCCACACAAGUCGGUCAAGAGCAUCGAUUCUUGUGUAGAUCCAACUAGUACGAUAUUUAUAGUUUUCGUUUACAUUUCCAAAGAACAAUUUAUGUCUUGCGUCGAGGAGCUGACUCCACAAGAUUACCUUUGUCACCUUGUCACAUCGAAUAUUCGAAUGCUAAUUAGGAGAACUAAACAUUAGCUAAUUAUAAAAUUAAUUGCAAAAGCUCUAGGCUAAUUCGUGAGACGAAUCUAUUAAGCCUAAUUAAUCUAUCAUUACCCAUGAUUAAUGUAGCACCACAUAGUCAAAUUAUGGAUUAAUUGGGUUUAAUAGAUUCAUCUCGUAAAUUAACCUCCAUCUGUGCAAUUAUUUUUUAAUUAGUCUAUAUUUAAUAAUCCUAAUUAGUAUCAAACAUCCGAUGUGACAUUUAGCUCGUAGGAAACAAACACCCAAGUCUCCUUUUAGUUACUUUUCUUUGGGAGUAAACAGACGAGGUGGGCAAACAACUGGGUUUGAUGUAUUUAAAAUAUGCAAGUAUUUUACUUAUACCGAAGUCUAACAGGCGAAGAGUUACCGAUGAGAUUAUUUCUAUUACAGAGCCCGCAAAUACGCUUCGCUGCAUGUGCAUGUUACAGCGCAAUUAAUGGCACUGAACAUUUUAUACCUGCACUCAGAGAGUCAGAUGCGAUGUACAUCUAAAAAGUUUGGUUUCUUGGAUGGUCAGAUUUAUCGUAUAUUUAGAGGGUGUUUGGGAGAUAGCGGUUAAAAUCGGAUGUUUGACACUAAUUAAAAGUAUUAAAUAUAGGCUAAUUAUAAAACUAAUUGCACAACCUCUAGGCUAAAUCGCAAGACAAAUCUAUUAAGCCUAAUUAGUCCAUUAUUAGUGACUUUGACAUUAUGUAGGCUAGUGUAGAGACUUUGAUAGUUGGGCCAGUGCAGGCUAUGAUGUCCGUGCAUGUCUUUUUCCAUUUGCCAUUGUGGACAGGGUCCAUGGGUCCUGUCAGUAGCGUUCUAUAUAUGAGACAUUCAGGCAAUGUUCAAACGCACUACUAACACUUCCCAACCCGAAUCCACCGUUUGUAGUGAGGUUGCGUCUCCCUCUAAGAAAUGUCAUCGUGGAGGGAGGAGAAAAAUGAGGUUCCACCAUGGAGUGAGCACCCCAAAUGCCACCGCGACUUCCGUGCGUGGUUAUAGGUACGGGAGGAUCGCAUACCUAGGGGGAAGAAGGGGUGUAGGUACUUCAAGUGUCCCAACAUUGACGAUGAUUUCAAGAUCAGGCUGUUCAUAAACAUUUUGAAUAUAUUUUACCUUGAACUAAUCAGGAAUGAACAUGCAGGCAUGCACGUUCACGGAAUGUGAUGAGGACAUCACUCCUUUGGAUGCACACGAUACUCCUCAAGUUGUACAAGGACCAAUCACUCGAGCUGGAGCACGACAAAUGAAUCAACAGGUAAGCUCGUUUUUAGGUAUGUCCUUUCAUGAUUAUAAGAAUGAGAUACUACCUAAUGAUAUUAUUGUGAUUAGGAACUUAGGAGAGGACCAGUAAGGACAUGGAGAGAGUUUUGGAAGUGGAAGAGACCAGCGAGGGCGCCCAAAUCAAGUUGGAGAUGCAAUACAACUCGGGUUCGUUUCAGCCUCGGAUUUCAGGAGUAGCAAGUAGUAAAUUGGACGCUCCGGUGGCAUACGGAGGCCGUUUUGGACGUUCUUUAUAUGGAUGGAAAGAUAAUUUCGAGGAGCUUCCAAUAGCACCAGUCCACUGCAAAAUACGGCCGGAGUCAACAGGAAUCGUCGAAAGAAGUUGACGUCCAGAAUCUGUCUGGGUGCUGCGUCACCAUCUUUGGGCCGUUGGCCCAUGUAUCCUGUCGAGCCCAUUAGGGGGCGCGUCCCUAGGGGUAUGCACACCCCAAACCCUUAUUUCCUCAGUAGCCGCCAUCCUUCGAGGGUUAGGUUUUUCUUAGAUUCAUUCUUCAUGCUUUUUGAUGGAGUUCGCCUUGCACCGGACCGACUAGGCUGCUGCAAUUGGUUUAUGAAACCUCAACUUGAGUGCUUAAUCAUUCAUCUGCAAUUCGGAUUGUGUUCUUCUCGUUCUUGCUUGUGUUCUUGGAUUCGCUUGCAGGGAUUAGCCUUCUUGGCAAGGUCAUCCGCGUCCUGGAUGGGGGUGAUAACCAACGGAGCAGUGGUGUAACGAUCAUGGGGUGAAUCUGUUUCGGCAGGAGCCCUAAAUCGCCAACGUCGAGUCUCCACAAAUCCAACAUACCCUACCUACUGGAAGAUCGGGACCAACACCCCUAUUAGCUGGUAUCAGAUUCACAGGUUUCCCAUUAGGUAAUUCUCGUGAUCUUCCUUUUACUGUCCUAGAGUCUACUAGCUGAAAAACACAACAAAAAAUCCCGUCCUAUAGCCCCUUUGUGCCUUUCCAAUUUUAAUUUCAGUGUUGCUUUAUUAAAUUUGUGUCCGUAGUUGAGUCUUUGUUGCUGGUUUAGAUUGUGUCCAAGUCUGGUUAUGUUUUUCCUUGUGCCGCCACCCAUCUCGCAUCGUCGCCAACCCUAGCCGCCACAUUUGUGCCACCGUAAAACCCUGAUUUCGGGGCAAAUGUUGAAACGGCCAUAACUUUCUGCUCGGAGGUCGAAACGGGGCAAUUUUUUUUCACGGACAUCUACAGAAAAUUUCCUACGUGGUUCUCCCCCACUUUGUCCAGUUCGGUGAAAUCAGAUUGCCGUAAUUCCCUUUGCAAGAUUGUGUUUUUGAGGUUCAAAGUUGUUUCUUCUCAUUUUCUAGUAUCUUCGUGAAUUUCCCUAGCUCACAUCUAUUAUCCACAUAAGUUGAAACUUGGUGUGCUUGGUUCUUUUGGUUCUUAGGUGCUCCUGGUUCAGAAAAAAAUAUUCAAAAACACAAAAAAGAAAAAAAAACAAAGAGACAAAAAAAAAUUUACAGAGGAGCACCUGAGACUUGGUACACCCUGAGCAGAGCUGUGAGAUCCUGUCCUUUGACUUGCCUCAUUGUGGUUUACCCUGCUCGCUUGUUGUUCUACAACUUCUACUAGGUGCACAUUUAGGCCAGCAACUAUGACGAGUCUUACGAACAUUUAUUCAGUUUGCAUAUCUGUUAUUACUAUCAUAUGUUCCUUGCUACUUACAUAGCCUGCCCAAGCUCCACUUUCUCCUAGUCAAAAAAGCUUCAACCUUGGUGAUCUGCCCAUGCUCCGCUUGGUGUUCCCUCACCGGCUGGUACCCUCCUUGCAGUGUUGGUAAGAAUAUUUGCAAGUGCGGGUAAGACGCCUGAUGAGUUGUUCCACCUCACAUAUAGCCACCAGACCCCCCCCUCAUACUUGAAUAGGGCUUUGUACUUCCUAUUUUCUUUGCUAACAUUCCAGGAACCGACAAAGACAAAGAAGCUACUAGCCCAUCCAACUUCAACGAGUGUGUUUCUCGGGCGGACCUUGAUGCUACCACACGGAUGAUGACGCAAGCGCUUGAGCAGCUCCAGCGAUGAUGACGCAAGCGCUUGAGCAGCUCCAGCGUUCUAUCGCAGCCAUUGCUACUCGCCUUGCCCACAUGGAGGAAGAGCAGCGACUGCGCUGACCAGCACCACCGUCUGAGGAUGAGGGUGAUAAUGAGGAUGACGCCACCCUCACUGGUGAGGAUGCUGACCAGCGACAACCUCCACAUAGGUGUAGCCCUGGUAACCACCCCGCCCAAGGUAACAAUGAUCCUUAUUCCAAGGUUAAAUUCUCAAUAUCGUCAUUUCCUGGUACCUAUGAUCCAGAUGUUUAUCUAGAUUGGGAGAUGUCGGUUGAACAGAAAUUUAAUGCUCAUAUGGUGCCUGAUAUACAUCGUGUUAGAUUAGCUACUAGUGAAUUCACUGGGUUUGCUAUUCUUUGGUACUCUGAACUUGUUAAAACUGGCACUGAUCCACCAACGUGGGAUAGGUUAAAACGAGCAAAGCGUGCUAGAUUUGUUCCUCCUUCAUAUAAACGUGAUUUGGGCAAAAGAUUACAGUGACUUAAUCAAGGUAACAACUCAGUAGAAGAAUAUUAUCAAGAGCUGCAAAUUGGUAUGUUACGUGCUGAGGUAGAGGAGGACAAUGAGGAUAAAAUGGCUCAUUUUUAUGAUGGUUUGUGCCAUGAAAUUCAGGAUAUAAUUGAUUAUAAAGAGUACAAUACUAUCAAUCGCUUGUUCCAUCUUGCUAUGUUGGCAGAGAAAGAAUUGCAGAGACGUCAACGGACGAGCGGACAACCCCGGACGAGCGGGCAGCCAUGGCGUUCACCACCAUCGGCUUUUACAUCCCGACGACCAGCGACUUCAUCUACACGGCUAGCAGCACCCCCUCCAUCAACUACACCGACUGAGGUGAGCAAAAUAGUGAGCAUGAAGGCGAACAACAAGCCUUCGUCAUCUUCUACCUCUACGGGUCGUUCGGCACCUAUUCAGUGCCAUCGUUGCAGGGGUUUUGGACAUGUCAUGAAGGAUUGCCUGUGCAAAUGAGCUUUCAUUGCGACAAAGGACGGCGGAUAUGUAAGUGCUAGUGAUGUUGAGGGUGAAUUUGCACUUGCCGCUAACCUUGCAGGCGACGACGAUUUUUCCAAUGAGGAUGGAGCCAUUUUAGGAGCAGCGGCUUCGGCGGGCCAUGAGAAACUCAUUGUGCAGCGUGUCUUGAGCGCUCACAUGGCACAGGAGGAGCGGAUACAACGCCACAAUUUAUUUGAGACUCUCUUCGUCGUGCACAAGAGGCCUGUUCGGAUCAUCAUUGACGGUGGUAGCUGCAACAACUUGGUGAGUCAGGACAUGGUAGACAAGCUCCAGCUUCCCACACGUGAUCACCCUCACCCGCACCAUAUUCAAUGGUUCAACAACAGCGGUAAGGUUAAGGUAAAGCAAACUGCGAGGAUUCAUUUCUCCCUAGGUGAGUAUAGCGAUGUUGCUGAUUUUGAUGUUGUGCCUAUGCAAGCAUGCUCACUUUUACUUGGUUGUCCUUGGGAGUUUGAUACUGAUGCUACACACCAUGGUAGAAGCAAUAAAUAUACUCUUAUGCAUAAAGGAAAGAAACUCACUUUGCUCCCCAUGACCCCUGCUGAAAUUGUGCAAUUUGAGAUGGAAAAACUUGCUAAAUCUACAUGUAAAACUGCUAGUACUUCUGAAAAUCAGCAAGUAGCUAAUUCUAUUUUCCCACCUAAAAAUGAUAAAGUUGCUUCAAAUUCUUCUCCUAAUGCGAUCAAAUUGAAAGAUGGUGUGAUGCUUGCAACUAAAUCUGAUCUUGCUGAAAUUUGUGAUGAGGAUGCGCCUUGUUAUGCUUUGAUUUGUCGAGAUGUGCUAUUUUCCAUGGAUGAUACAUCUAGCACUUUGCCUCCUGCGGUCACUAACCUUUUGCAGGAGUUUCGAUAUAUUUUCCCAGCUGAGAUACCUCUAGCCCUUCCACCCAUUCGAGGCAUUGAGCAUCAGAUUGAUUUCAUACUUGGAGUGAGCUUGCCGAACCGUGCGGCAUAUCGGACCAACCCUGAAGAGACUAAGGAAAUUCAGCGCCAAGUGCAAGACCACCUUAACCGUGGGUAUGUUGAGAGCCUUAGUCCUUGUGCUAUUCCUGUUAUUUUGGUCCCAAAGAAAGAUGGCAGUUUUCGCAUGUGUGUAGAUUGUAGAGCUAUUAACAAUAUCACCAUUCGUUAUCGUCACCCUAUUCCUAGGCUAGAUGAUAUGCUUGAUGAGUUGAGUGGUUCUAUAAUUUUUUCUAAGGUAGACUUGCGUAGCGGAUAUCACCAAAUCAGAAUGAAACUAGGAGAUGAAUGGAAAACUGCUUUUAAGACUAAGUUUGGCUUGUAUGAGUGGUUAGUAAUGCCUUUUGGUUUAACUAAUGCACCUAAUACUUUCAUGCGCUUAAUGAACAAGGUCUUACGUCCUUUCAUUGGAAAAAUUUGUGGUGGUAUACUUUGACAAUAUAUUGAUUUACAACAAGUCUUUACUUGAACAUCUUAAUCAUCUACGUGUUGUUUUCAAUGCUUUACGUGAUGCACGUUUGUUUGGUAACCUCGACAACUGCGCCUUUUGCACCGAACGAGUUUGUUUCUUGGCUAUGUUGUGACUCCACAGGGGAUCGAGGUUGAUGAAGCUAAGGUGCAUGCUAUACAGACUUGGCCGACUCCCACAUCAGGUCUCAAGUGCGGAGUUUUCAUGGACUAGCCAUUUCUAGGAGCAAUGAUGGUACCACCCCCUGCAAAAAAUGAUUUCCAAAGGUGGGUGAUGGUACGGCCCGCCCUUAUAAAUGGUCCCACGCAAAUAAAUUCAUAACUUUUUUCGUAUGAUCUCGGACGAAGACAAAUUUUAUAUUAAAAUUGUAGAGCUCGACGAGGUAUAAAACUUUAUAGUUGAUAACUUUUUCAUUUAAGAUCAUUUAGUAGUCCAAAAUUUAAGAUCAUUUCAAAGUCUUCAGGGUACCCGCACCUGCAAAUACUGUUUCAACUAGCCAUAUAAAUGCACCCACCCUGCAAAUGUUGUUUCAACUAGCCAGCCCUGUACCCCUACGAAUGCUGUUUAAACCUUUUUUAGUAGCGAUGGGCAAAGUUCUCCGCAACAUUACGACCUGUGACAUCACCACCAACAACGGGCGACGGGAUCAGAGGUUAAAGCCUAUUAGUGAGCACUUCGGAAAUGCACUUAACGGCAGGGGCGGAUCUGCACCCCGUGCUGAGGCUGCUGCAGGCUGCAGCACCCCCUUGCCCCAAAAAAUUCAUCUGUCAACCCUUAAUUGGCUAAAUUGCACUAUAUAAAGAUAGACCUUAUGGAUCAAAGCUUCUUUAUUUAUUACUUGUUCAAGCGAAAUAUUUAAGUAGCUUGUCAUGAUUAAGAUAUUACUCCCUCCGUUCCAAAUUAUAGGUCGUUUUGACUUUAUUAGAUUCAUAGACUUUGUUAUGCACUUAGAUAUACCCUAUGUCUAGAUACAUAAUAAUAUAUAUGUAUCUAGAAAAGUCAAAACGACCUAUAAUUUGGAACGGAGGGAGUAUUUAGCUCGAACUCUGAAGAAAGCAAGAUUUUUAACUUGUCAAUAUAUAGCACCCGCUUUGCUCCGUUCCUGGAUCCUCCACUGCUUGACGGGACAGUUUUGCAAGGGAGAUAGGCCGAAAAGCUUCAGGGGCAUGAGCCGUUUCCUUUUUAGUGGUACGAACAAUUUAUGCGCUCAAGCUCGGCCCGGCAGGAAAAAAAAAUUAAAAAGGAGCAACAACAGCGUGUGACGGGCCGGGCUCCUAUUUAACUUCUGGUAGCUAGUUAAGCUAGCGAACUUUGAAGCCCAAUAACACCGAGCAAAGCCCAAGUAGAAAUUCUAUUCCACGCCUGCUGCGAAGACUGAGCUACUACUACGGCAAACGUCAGCACCACUGUUUCCUUGCCGGAAAUUUCUAAACGUGCGGAUUUUUCAAAUUGUAUACAACAUUAUAUUUGAUUUCAAAAUAAUGGUGAACUGCAUUUAUUUGCAUUCAACAUUUUCAAAUACACGAUUCAACAUUUCAUCCAACCUAGUUCAACAUUUUCGAAAAACUAUUUCAACAUUUUUUAUAUAAAAUGUUGAAAGAGUAUAAUCAAACUUUUUUUUAUAUAAAAUGUUGAAAUAGUGUAAUCAAACUGUUGAAAUAGUGGAUUCCAAAUGUUGGAAUUGCGUGUUCGGGGUGUUGAGUUUUACACAAUUUGGAGAAACUGGUGACACAUUUUGGAACCAGUGGAACGGGGCUGCCGUGGGGCUGCGGCUCGCGGCAGCGGAGGCAGGGCGCGCAGGCUGAGUGGUCGACGGCGGCGGAGAUGAGAGCCGCAGCAUGGCGGAGCGUCGGGGCGGCGCACAUGGGAGCCACGGCGACGGAACUUUGGGGCGGCGCGCAUGCGCACACAGCCGCAGCUGAGCGUCGGUGGGACGGCAUGCAUGGGAGCGGUGGCGGGCGCGGCACACACGCAACGAACAGAGGCGGCGGCGGCUCAAGCAGAUGGGGAGUGGUAGGAGAUGGUGGAGAAGAUGGGGGCAAUAGGGCUCGGAAAGAUGCAAAGCAUCCGAUGGAUGAGAAUGUGGGCACGAAUCUCGAACACCGGAAGGAAACGGGCAACCGGAAGUUACAUAGUAGGAUCUCCGCGCCGUGACCACAUCCGAUGCAGCCUUGUAAAAGCCUGAACCAAAUCCAUCAGGCCCUGGGCUGGAAGCGAGGUGCAUUUGUCUGAGGGCCGCUUCGAUCUCAGCCCGAAGGAAUGGGCCAUCCAAUAAAGGUCAUCAAGACUAAACCCCGCGCAACUCCAAGCUGAGCAAACUCGUGAUUACGAGACUCCUCCACUCCUACCACAAGCAGUUGGAUUUUAUUACUACGGAUAUGCAAAUUAUUUUUUUUAAACAUUGGCAGGAGCUUGCAUUUAAGAGGAAUAGAAGUUUUGUUUACCAGUUACAUAGCGAUUACAUAAUGAACUAGUACACUCAUACAUCCAGGGGGAAAUGGUAAGCGUGUAGACAUUAGAGGUGAAUUAUGUCUUCUCGUAUCCAUGGAGUGCCGCACGGCUGACGACGAGUGAGAAUAUCCUGUUGAACUAAGCCGAACACUUGAUCUAGCCGCAUUGUUGUGUUUUCGAAGAUCCUUCGAUUUCUCUCCUUCCAAAUAUUCCAAGUGACGUACAUUAAUAUUGCUGCUACUGAUCUUCGCUGUUUUGCUUGCAUCGGCGUAAGAGUUUCACUACAAAUUUCUGAAUGUCAUCCUCAUUGCCUAAUAGAAAUCUGGCACCCUAGCCCAUCCAAUUGUAGAGCAGCAGCCACACUUCUUUUGCAAAGGGCAUUGUAGGCAACACACAUUUGUUUCAGGAGCUUGAUCACAUAGGGAGCAUGUUUCUGAACAAGUCCAGUUCCUGCUAAUCAUUUUAUCUGCUGUGAGGAUUUUCUUUUGGACAAGCAGCCAAGCAAAAAAAUUUAUUUCCCUUCAGCGUGGGCUCUCCAAAUGUUUUGAUGCUGUCCAUUUGAGAAAGUUCCUUGGAGCUGCGCCUGAGAUGCCGAUUUUGCAUUGUGUAGUCCAUCUGCAGACCAGCGCUAUUGGAAGAUAUCAUACGCCAGAGCUCCUCGUCCAACUGUAAUUUGUGAGUUCUUGUUGUACUGUUCGUUGCUUCCUCCAAGCCAACUUGUACAAAUUCGAUGCAAUGUCCAUGGGGCUCUUCCAUCCAACCAGCUGUUGUGCCAGAACUUUGCAAUUGCUCAAUUACCCACAGUAACAAUAGUGCUGAUCCUGAAUGGUUGCCUGUCUGUAUUGUCACAAGGUGUGGAAGACCCCACCCAAGGCCUCUCUGGAUCUUUCCAUUCAUACCAUAGCCACCUUAACCUUAGUGCUGUACUGAAUAAUUGAAGAUCCAGAAUGCCCAGCCCUCCCAGACUUUUAGGUAGCAUACAUUUCUUCCAAUUCACAAGGCAAUAUCCCCCAUUAGUAUUUUCUGCUCCCUUUCAGAGAAAACUCCUUCUUAUCUUGUCAAUCUUUUUGUUGGCCCAUUUUUGCAAGGGGAAAACAGUCAGAAAGUAUGUUGGCAUGAAUGAAAGAACUGAUCUCACCAGUGUGGCCCUCCCAGCUAUGUCCAUCAGUUUCCCUUUCCAAGCAGGUAGUUUUGCUGCAAUUCGAUCUAUGAGAGGUUGUGUCUCAAUUCUUCUUAACCUUUUGGAAGUCCUAGAUGCGCAAAUUAAAUUAACACCCCCCCCCCCCAGUUCCUUGAUGGAGUCAAAAAGUGAUGACCCAGUUGCAGUCAGUCUCACGUUGCGAAAUGGACCCAGAUUUCCUCCGUCAUUUCUUGGCUGCCACACUUCUAAGGCGGGGAACCAGGGAAGUGGCCGCGUUUUUUCACCACAACAUCGCUGGGGUGCUUUCUUGUGUUUCUUAAGUCCAAAUGCAAUGCUACUUGUGGACUGAUUACUGAAGAUCCUCUACAUCCUUCAUGACCUUGCAUAAGUAGUAGAUUUGACUGAACGCACACAAAUCAUAAUUGAUCAAACGUAGACAAGAAAUAGGAGAUGCUAAAGCUUAGACCGGAGUGUAGAAACUCGAGUAGGGAAAGACUGAGUAUUUUUCUUUUUCAUGGCAAAUUGAAAAAUGAUUUUCUUUUUAUUAGCAGCAAACUAAAAAUAACACAUUUUGUACAGGACAUUGAACAUGGAUGUCGUGAUGUAUGGGCCCACCAGCAAGUUUGGACAGUCGAGAAAACAGGGCUGGGCAUCAAGACGUAUCUAACAUGGAGAAUAUAGUGCAGGAUGGUGUAGUGGACAUGUAAUAGAAGUAACUAGUUGAGGAUAAGGAAAGUACUCGUUGUAAUAAGAGUAGGACUCUUCUAGUCGUAUCCGACUAGUAUUCUUGUUAUCAAUCGACAUAUAACCCUGCCACCGACUAUAUAAGACAAGGCAGGGACCCCCUUCAAAGCAAUUUAAUACAACCAACGCAAUACAAACACACAGGACGUAGGGUAUUACACAAUUCAGUAGCCCAAAUCUAUCUAAAUCGUGUGUCAGUUUUCACCUUCGAGUUCCUGAUCUCGGUGAAACCCACUAAAAAAUCCACUACCUCGGGAUACCCCUCAGUAGGUUACCGGUCUACAUACAGACAGUUGGCGCUCCAAAUAGGGGAAUUCUCCGAUGAUCCCCUGGCGAACUCGAUGGCACAACUUAUCAUCAAGCCUAUCAUCACGUUUGAAGAAGGCACGAUGUUCAUCUUCGGCUCAUGGUUCUAUGUCGCAGACGGCACCAGCCCCGAAGAAGAAGAAGCUUUCCACCAUGAAGCUCCAACAGCAAGACAUCAAUGAUCUCGUCGAGAAUUUCAACAAAUUUUCAAUUUCUAACCUGGUCAGAUGUGAGGAAGACAAGUUCGCUCAAGCUCGACUUCUACUCCGACUCUGAUCGAUCCGCUCGAGCAGGCUCCAGACCCAUCAAGCAUAACAACAAUGUAGUCUUUGGUUUGUAAUUAGGGAAGAUUAGUCAAGGAAAACUCUAAUUGACCAAGAUAACUAGUACCGUUCUCACUGAAACUUCCCUGAUAGCAACUUUAUUAUGGUUCAAAUCUGAUAUUGUACUUUUAUCAUAUUAUGACUGUGACAUUGUUGUUUAAUAUACGUGUAUCACUGUAAACUAUGGUUACAAGGAGGCAAGAACUGAUGCGGGAGGCGUAUAGAGGAAUAUACCUAGAAGAAGGGUUCGACAAAUGGUUAACGAGUUUGACGAUACGGAUUAUUCUAGAAAGACAUAGAGAUGGACCUAGAACUUGAACAACAUUGUAACUACUACUAUUCCCUCCGUCCCAAAUUGUAGGUCGUUUUGACUUUAGAUAUAGUGCAUGUCUAGAUGUAUAAUAAUAUCUAUGAAUCUAAAAAAGUCAAAACGACCUGCACUUUGAAAUGGAGUGAGUAGUUGAUAGAUGGUUGGGUCCUUAAAAUUAUUCUAAUACCUCUAUCAGUCAUAUCAGUAAUGGUUUGAACGCGGAUUCAUAUCAUGUGUACCUGCCAAGAUACCUUAAUAAUGAUCAGCCUGUAAUGGUCAUGAAGUUUAAAUAAUGUUAUAAUAAUAAACUAAAGUAAGUACAUAUAUAAUAAGAAAAUACUCCAUCCGUCCCAAAUUACUAUUCAUUUUGAAUUUUCUAAAUACAUAUCUUUUGACGUGCACCUAGAUAUAUACUAUGUCUAGAUACAUAGCAAAACUUAUGUAUCUAGAAAAGUCAAAACGAAUAGUAAUUUGGGACGGAGGAAGUAUAUAUAAUGACCAAUCCUUUGGUAUCAUUUUGCGCUGUUGGAGAAACUCUAAUUUUCUUAUUUGACGUUCAUAAAAUUUUAAAUGGUUUACUUGCAUUGAGACUCUAACAUAAUCAAAGUUCUAAAAUAAAGGAGCUAUUAGUACAAAUACAAUUCUUCCCUUUUAUUUAUUAAUACAAUAUAAAAUAGUAUAAGUACAUUUACCACAUGUUUCAGAGUGCGUGCGUACGCGCAUGACAUACGGCUCUUUCAUGCGCUAGAACGAACUAGAAGUUCUUGAUAACAUAAGUGCCGGGUAGUGCUGCUGCUGCUGCUGAGGGUCCCUUGUAGGCCUUGUUAGGCCUCGCUGUAAAUAGCCCAUAGUUUGCCUUGGAUGCACCAGCUUUGCCAUGUCCUCCAAUUCUUGAUGUACCACCAUAUGCCAUGCAGGUCGUCGUGCUACCGUAAUGUUGUUUCAUGUCCAUCCCAUAGCCAAAUAAGUCCCUAAACGGCCUGCUAGGCACGCCUAGUAUGACAUGCUCGGGUGUCGUCGUCAUCGUCGAUGCCCUGUUAAUCUUCUUACCCUCCUCCGCCCAUGCAUGCCAAUGCAAGCCGCCGUUCAUAUCCGGCGCCGGCGCCGGCGGCUGGUUGAUGAAGCGCACUAUGCUCUGCAUGAGCCUCCUACUGGUGGCGCGCAGCGGGCUGUAGAGGUGGAAGCCAUGGUCCUCGCCCUCCGACUCCACCAGCGUCGCCUCGCCGCCGGCAACCGCGUAGUAGUCACGGAUGCGGCCGAACAGGCGGCGCCCGCGCUCGCUCAGGGUGUCCUUCUCGGCGACGGCGACGAGGAAGCGCCGGCACGUCAGCGACGCGAUCUCCUCGUCGGGAGGGUUGAGCCGGGGGUCCUCGUUGCCGGCCUGCCCCGCCGUCACGAACGGCCACAGCCUGUCCACCCCGUACGCCGGCAGCACCGCCGCGCCGUCGCCGCAGGCCGCCUCGGAGGGCAGCCGCUCGGCGCCCCACAAGUAGGGCUGCACGAUGACGACCCCCUCGAUGCCGACGCCGUCGCGGCUGGCCCGGACCGCCGUGUGGUAGACGAUGUUCCCGCCGGCGCUGUCGCCGGCGAGGAACGUGCGCCCCGGGUCCGCGUGGUCGGCGAGCCAGGAGUCGGCGUGGGACGCCGCCCACCGGAGAGCGGACCAGGCGUCGUCGUAGGCCGUGGGGAUGGGGUGCUCCGGCGCGAGGCGAUACUCCACGGACACGACGAGCGCGCCGGCGGCCGCGGCGAGGGAGGUGGCGUAGCGGUGGUACGUCCGGCAGAAGGCGCUCUCCGUGCAGAAGGAGCCGCCGUGGACGUACACGACGAGGGGGAGCCGCCUUCUGCCGCCGCCGGCGGCCAUGGCAGCGCGGGAGGGGAGGAACAGGCGCGCCGACACGCCGGUGCCCGGGUCGAUGACGACGUCCCUCGUCGCCACCCCGCGGUUGGCUGUCGGGUUCUCGGAAGCAGGCACGAAAGGGCUCCUCAACAGCCGCUCGACGCGGCCGUCCUUGUACCGGAGAAGGAAUGGGUGGAGGUCGACGUCGACGUCGACGUCGCCGACAAAAUUAUUCACACAGUUCUUGUUGGCAUGCAUGGCGUGGUGAGCUGUAGCUCGUUCUGCUUUUAAUUCAGCCUAUCUAUGUUUGCUGCUCUUUGUUGUGUUGUGGGCUUGUGCGGUAGCUGCUUGUGGGGUUUAUAUAGCUGGAACAUUAUUUCAUUCCAGUCCGUUAGGUACCAUCAUAUUACAAAUUGGAUCCAUUUUGAAAUGGUGUUACAAUUUUAGUAGAGAAGAAAAAUCUGCACAUGCCUCUUGCAGUGUUGGGUAUUGAUCUUAUUAAUUUUGACCUCCUUUUAGUAAUAGGAAGUCCGGCUCUAUUUGGUAUGGCUCCAACUUUGGGUGGAGCUGCUCCACUCCAGAACUCCAGGUGGAGCCAGCUCUGGGUGGAAUUGGAGCUGUCUGAUGGAAGUGUUUGGCUGGAUGUCCACAGCUCCAGAAAAGAGGAGUUUGAAGGUGAAUUGCCAUUCUUGUUCCCAACUCAUGGUCCCACCUGUCAUCCUCUUAUCCCCCUCUUUUCUUCCUCAGGAACGCAGCAGAGCAUGACAGAGCAGGGAAGAAAGGGAAAGAGAAGAGGAGAAGUGUCGCGAUCUUUCGAUCUAGAAGGAGUUGGAUGCCCUGAGAACCUUGGUGGAGAAGAAGCACGCGACGCCACCCUCGAAGAAGAUGGCGUAGGGAGGGCAGAGUGCAAGCAUGAGCGCAUGUGCGGCCACAUAGGUCGGCGCCGCCCAUGGCCCCAGUGCGUCGCGGGCCUCACGGAAUGCCGCCACCACGGAGGCCCCAUCCUACCUGUACCGCCAGCCCGCGCCCAUCGCCGCCAUGGCCACGAACGCCGCCGCUCCGCGUGCCCAACCCCUACCUCGUCUCACCGCCAUCGCCGCGCGCCCAACCCCUGUGGAUGGAAGGCGGAGGGCGUUGGGCGGCAGCCGGCAGCGGGGCUCGACGGGCUGGCGGAGGUUGGGAGGGAGAUGCGGCCGGCGGAGGGGCUCGGCGGCCAGCGGCGGGCUUCAGGUGACCGGCGGCGGCAAAGGGGCUCGGCGGCUAGCGGCAGGGCUUGGGCGGUCGGCGACGGGGCUCAGGCAGCCGGCGGUGAGGGUGGACGCAGGGGAACAGGCACACGGGAGGGAGAUGUGGCGCGGGGGGGUCUCAGGAGGAAUAGAACGAACCUUUUUUUGUUUAACCAGUGGUAUUGGUGGGUAAUUACCCACCAACUCCACAAGGAGGUUCAAAGAGGUAGUUUUGGAGCUGCAAAAGAGGUGCUCCAAAAUUUCACCCCAUUUACACUACAGCUCCAUGGAGUUUUGGAGCUGGGGUGUUUGGCUGGAAUUUUUGCUAGAGUUGUUGGAGUUUAACUCCAGAGCCAUGCCAAACAGAGCUUUACUAUUGAGUUGUAUGCGCUGCCUAACAAUCCAAUCCAAAUCUUAGGCCCUGUUUGGAUCAAUGGGUUAAAUUUUAGUUGGCUAAAACUUAGCUCCUAUGAUCCAAAUCCAAAUAGUGGGGCCAAAGGUGGGCUAAACAUUAGUCAAACCCCCAACUAAACUUCAGUUCAUUAGCCCUCCAAACCUAGCUAAUGAGGGCUAUUUUGAGACACGAAUUGCAAAAGAUCAAAAAUACCCUCCACUAAAAUCUUACCAUUUUUCUCCAUCACCUCCCAAGUGUGGGGACCUCCCUUUGGGAGUCCCGCUAAUCACCUGUAUUAGUCCCUAGAUUAGUAGGCUAAUACAGUUACCAUCACAGUUCAGUAUUUUAAGCAAUAAAAAGCAUAUAAUUUAAUAAAUGAAAGGUUUUUACCUUAGCACAGCGAAGGGAAACGCAGGUGCCCAUCCACUAACAGGAUGGUCUACAACACCUGGAGACCUGUAUGAUGAAAGAAAGGCUGAGCCCACUUAUGGUUGGUAUUCAGCAAAUCCCAACCUUAACUAGUAUAUUAUAUGCAAUAUGGGAGGUGGUCAAGGAAUAUGGUUGAGAGGAAAAACCUAUGCCUAAAACAUCUCACAUAUGCAAAAUGGAUUUAAAAGGUGAGUUUUUAUAAAGACUCUCUAAGAUGGUUAUUAUUAUAUUAAUGAAGGUUGUGGUCCUAGGGGGGAAGCUGCCUCCCCUACCAGUCCCCAGGUUUUAACUAUGGAAUUCGGUCCACAACCUUCAUCCGGAAUUCUUAUCAUACUAAUUCCCACCCAAAGACUAAUCAUGGCGGCUUUAACAAAGUAGCUCAUAACUGUGAGCCUCGGCUAUCGAUAGAUUUGCGCAGAGGUGUACAUAUCCAUACGUUCGAUUAGCCCAUACGUUGAUCCUAGGCGGUACUAACCUACGAUACCCAUGCCCGCCCACGUUCAUCUCUAAACAGCAUUCCCUAGGUCCAUCCACGGAUAUAUUAGGGUCUAAACAAGGGCCACUAACCAUCCGCUACGCAGAUCCAAUCCCUGAAAAUGUGCACGAAUAUAUAAAACAGGGCCUCUAGCCCUCAGGGUCUCCGAUCCUCUAAACAGUCAACCCGUGCCGAUCGGACCUGGAACUCUGUGAAGGUCCUGCUCCAGCAUGUCUGUUGCCCACCUUGGCCCCUUGGGAUGGAUGACUAGAUUCAGCUAGCAGGGUUCGAAUCAAGGCCUGACAUGAACAGGCACUCCCGAAGGCUGUACCUUUUUGGAAUGUAUGGUUGUGCGUGUCACAAGAAAUACUCUCCCGAUGAACCGAUCCUUACUUGACCAGGGUAAGCGUCAGCGCAGUAUGUCCUUCAUAGAGGUUGUCCGCAGGCCCAAAAUACAACUUAGGGUUUGUAUUACUAUCAUCUUGUUUAUUAACUCACACAUUCCCAAAGGAAAAACCCUUCCUAAGUUUUUUUUAUAAAAAUAUAAAUAUUUAUGGUGGGGUGUUAGAUCCUCUCCAUAGAGGAUCCAACUAGGUUUUAUUCCCCAUUUACGGGGUGUGACUCAACUUGCCUAGCAUAUCUACUAUAGAAUGGGUUGGUAGGAAAAGUAGUUUUCCUAGAGUGUUUUGGCCUGUGGCAUUUCAAUAGCAAAAAGGGAAAUUCUAGCAAGCGCAUAUUCUAAAAAAAUAUUUCUAAAACAAUGCAGUCAAUAUUAGGUUGGUCAAAUUAUUACUCUCGCACUCAAUAGGAUAAAACAUGAACUAGGUGUCAGGACUUGCCUUCAUCCAAAAUCCUUAACGUCCUAGGGCGACCAGGGUUCUUGGCUUCACGCUUUUUGGAUCUUCAUCUUCGAGCAGAGCCUGGCCGUCUACCGGGUGAUAAGAGCGCAUAAAAUAACAAUCAAUAAAACAAUACACCAAUAAAUUCCUAAGAAAUAGAAAGAAAGGUAAAGGAUAAGUAUUUUGGGAAUUACCUUAUACUUAAGGGUGAAUUCCUGGGUAUUCGAAAGAUAAUUCAUUAAUUAUUUAGAAAUGGGUUUCUAAAUAAUUAAUGGGUUGGUUGGUUGGAUUUUUUGGAAAUUCUAGGGUUUUGGUUGAGUAGCACAAUGACUGGGUUUGGACGAUAAUUUGAGAUUUGGGUGGGUAGCACUACGGCUAGGUUGGAAGUGUAGAUUUUAUUUGGAUAUCAAAUUUUGGAAGGGUAAGAUUUUUCGGAAAUUUUAGGAUUUUGGUCGGGCAGCACGACGCCUAGGUUUGGACGAUAAUUUAAGAGUGAGGCUUUUGGAGAUUAGUCAAUUAAAUCAAAAUAUAUUUUGAAUACAUAACAAGCGUUUGAUUAGGACACGUACUGCGUAUGGAAGAUACAGACCUGCGCUACGCCUAUGUCCUUGUCCCAUCUGUGCGCAUGACGCAUCUCUCAAAGGAGAAGGCCGGCAGGGCAACGAACUGGUAAUUAAUGAGUAAAUAGAUGUGGAUCAGGGAGCGGCAGUGAAGUUUACCUGCCGCUGCAGGCCUGCAGUACGCAGGCGGUGUUCCCCAUUGCUCUGAAUAGCGCCGGCCAUCUUAAUUCCCUGUAGUGAUAUCGCUGGACUGAUCACCAACAAGCACAGCAGCGUGGUGUAGUCCGGCGUCGGAGAUUCGGAGUCCAGCGGCACCCACGGCAGCUUUUAGAUCUAUUUUGUGUUAAUGACGAUGGAGAGAGAGGGCCAGGGUUAUGGGUCGAUCCUUAUGUAGCGGUAACUAUCAGUUGUAGGAUGGGCAGAUCGUGGAGUCCGCUGCGGAUUUACCGAGAGGCUGUAGAGAACCGUCGGUCACUUCAACAAUAGCCGACCGUGAUUAUGAAAACUUUAGGUCAUCAGGUAACUUCAAACUUCCAUUCAUCAGGGUAACAAUAGCCAACGAUGUUAUAAUGCACCGUCGGUGACUAUCAAACCAUCGGCAAAUAGUAAUAUUCCCAAGAGGUAGUCGGGAAAUUCUUGUGACGGUUGGAUAUCAAAUUUGAAUGGAAGUUUGAAGUGUAGGUUGGGGAUUAAGAGUGAGGCUUUUGGAAGGGUUUGGAGUUUGAUGAUAUGACUAAGAUUGAGUAGAUGCCUUAUAGGGGUUUGAAUAGUUUUAAUAUUUGAAUGAAAUUCAAAUAUGGUUUCUAAGGUUUUUGGAAGAGAGAUUCAUCGAGGAAACAUUUCUAAGGAAGAUUUAAGAGGGAUCUCUAGAGCAAUCAAAUGCAACACAAAUGUGAGUUAGAUGCAUAGAUUUAAUUUACGAAAUAGGUUUUGAAUGUUUCAGGAAAAGAAGUUUAGUUUGUAGUUAGAGAAAAAAAUUUAAAAGUACAUAUUUUAGAUGUUCUAAAAAGCGGGAUGUUACACUAAGGAUAUAGUGGACUUUUACAAAUAAUUGGCUAAAAAUUAGCUUUAGCUCCAAACAAGUCAUGGCUAAACUUUAGUUUUAGUCCAUCCAAACAGGCCCUUAAGCGGGUGGAAAAUAGUGGACAAUUCACUUAUACUUUAUCACUCUCUCUCACGUGGAGGCUGCCUCAAGCCUCAUACAUGCAUGUAACAUGGAGCUAUCAGCAAUUUAUUUUAUUGUGCUUAUCAGGUUUUGAACUCGAGACCUCUACCUUGAUUUGGGCCAAAGGUCUCGGUGCGAAUCUUGAUUGGUGCACGUUCCUUUAGGCCUAAGUGAGUCUCCAUGUGAAGUAGCUAGAGUGUUGAAGGAUAAAUAAAUGCCUAUAUAUUUUUCAUAUUGAGUUGCAUGGCUAACCAAUUUGGUCCAAAAGUUUAAGUUAAUGGAAAAGGAUGGGUAAUCCAAUUAUACUUUUUCGUAUUGAGUUGCAUGGCUAACCAGUUUGGUCCAAAAGUUUAAGAUAAUGGAAAAGGAUAGGUAAUCCAAUUAUACUUCACGUCUUCAACACAUAAAUUGACCAAAAUUAAUAAAGGACCUAUAAUCUCAUACAAUAAUUCUAAUGAGUUAUGUGAUCUGCAUAUAUACUUGACACAUUCUACAAUAAAAUAGCUUCUAUGGUAUUUAUGCUAGGUUUCCAUGGUAAAGUAUGUGCUUUAAUGAUGCUUUCUACAAAGACGUACAAGCAUUCUCCGUGGUCUUAAUUAGAUGCGAGAAAUUUAGAAUAUAGUGCUGCUAUGGCAUUUUCCAUUGGAUGGCUGAACCCUGAUCUAUCAACAAGCAGCUGAGUGCUGCUAUUCUGCUAUUGCUUCGAUCCUGAAGUUGAAGCUUGAUGUCGUCCACGCAUUCUCAUGUCCUCUUCUACCCCCAAGCCCUUAAGCUCUUCAGUUGUGCAAUUAUUAUUUUUUUUGGUUACUGAAACAAGUGCUCAUAUCGUAUGAUACCUUUCAACAUCACAAUCGACGCAUGCAGUCUCCUAGAUUUUACGUUUAAUUUCACACUGCUAUAAAAUUAUUUUUCAAAAGAUGGGUGGCAACUGUGUUUUCACAUGUAUUUAGCCAACCACAUGUAGAAAUGGCUAGUCCGCCUGUGAAUAUGGAUUUUCAUAGGCGGACCUAAGAAACUGCCUGAGCAUGUAGAAUAUCACAUGAUGUUAUCACGAGGACCGGCGUGUGCUGUAUAUUUUUCCUCGAACCAAAGUUAAUAUAUAUUUCACUAUAGAACAUAUAUUCAAGACACUAUACAAAUAAUCAUCAAAUAGAACAGAUUCAAUUCCAUUCUCUAUAUCUCUCAACCAUCAUCAAAGACACAAGGUUUUUGUGAUAAUUUUUCUAAACGAGUUUGCCUCUCCUUUUACUGAAAGCAAACAGUAGUCCACAGCACAUCAUCUGGCAACAAAAAAUUCAGAACACGACAUGUUUCGAGAUCUUGGCUCCACCUUUUUCGCAUCAACAUAGCUUCACCUAAAAUUAGAUAGCUGCUGCCUUGACCAAGCCAUAAUUUGUGUGCAAACAAAGAUUAGGUUUUCUUGGUUGUGCACAGUUCUCACCAUUAAGAUUGCAUAGUGACAUCAACGAGAACCAAACUGUAUGCAUUAAUGGUGCAUGCAAGCACAUGCACGUAGUAUAGCAGUACAUGCAUAAGCAUUAUUGACCAGUUGACCACACAAUUCACAGCUCGCUGCCAAGAUUAGCCGGUAAGGUUCCUUGUGGUGAACCUGCUCACCAGGGUUCGAGUCCUCGACUCAGCACUGAUAUUCGUAUUUUUCUGAAUUUAUUCCAGGAUUUAACCAUGUGAUUUGAAAAAAAAAUCCCAGCUGGCUGACUGUGCCCUCCUUGUGGUCUCGUGUGGACCCGCCUGAUGUGCAUCAAGAAUUGGGUAUAAGAUAAAGAUACAUAACUAUAGAAUUAGAUAGACCUAGCUACAUCACGUCAUAAUUGGUAGCUCAUAAAGAUUGGUAUGCCAAUUGAUCACCCAUAUGACGGCAGCACCUAACAUGAUAAAGAUUGGCACCUAAAAAUGGAUAAGACUUUUUUUUGUCAUAAUUGCCAUGCCCACGUAGAACAUCACUAAGAUUUUGUUAUCGUGACGUCGACAAAAUCGUAGGAGCCAAUUUAUAAUGUUUCUAGGGAUAUUUGGUAGGUGUCAUAGAAAUUGGCUGAGAAAUUUCUAAAUGUAUACCUCCUUUUGGACUUGAAGUCUGUAUAACACCUUAUGUAUAUAUUUAUUAUUUUUUAUAUAAAAAAUCCUGCUAAUCUGCUCAAAAAACAUCUAGAGCAAUUGAAUAGUGAUUUGCGAUGUAGUUAAACAGAGUGCAUUCCAUAUACACAAGAGAACAAGUGUACCACAUUAAGCACUGGCGAAAAAAGAUGGAGGCGAGCAAGAACUGUGUUCGCAGCCAAGCCUAUGAUUGGAGCUUGAGAGAGAGAGUGAAGGUGUACAACGAGAAAAAGCUAUGACAAGCAGGAUUGAAAUGAACAAGGGAUAAGGCUUUGUAUACGAUAGAUGAUACAAACUCCCUCCAUUCCAAAUUGUAAGUCAUUUUAGUAUUUUAUCCUAUGUCCAACUUCUUCAACUUUAACCAAAUAUAUAGAGAAAUAUGUAUUAACAUAAAUAAUACCAAAAAACGUGCUGCCAAGUUAUAUUUCAAUGUGUGGAUUUAACGAAAGUAAUUAAAUGUUGUAAAUGUUGAUGUGUUUUUGCAUAAACUUGGCUAAAGUUAGAAAAAUUUGAUUUAGAACAAAAUUAGAAUGACUUGCAUCUGAGAACAGAAUGGAUGAAAUGUCUUUGAUAAUGACCGGCGCGGCGGCGGCUGGGCAGUGUGGCGUGGGCGGCCGGGAUAUCGGCAGAUCCAAGAUGAUCCCGCGGUGCCCAACUAAUAUAACAAACCAUACAGAAGAGGACGUAAACUUGUGCAGGACCGACGUCCAACUAACAGCAUGUGUAUGGACGAAGAAGACGGCUAUCAACCAAAAAGUGUCUGAGGACCACGGUGGUCAACCUAAUUAAGUUGUCACGAUCAUGUUCCGGCCGAUCAGGAGAGAAAAAAAAUGGCAUGUCGAUCUCAUGCAUGGGUGAGUAUGUAUGUAUAUGUACGGUCGUCAUCAUCUUGUUAGCAGCAGCAGCAGCAGCUAGCUCCACCUACGAAACAAGCUCCAACAUGGCAUCGGCGUCGGAGCCCGUGAGCCCCGUGGAGAGACUCAUGAAGGAUCUGUACGUGGUCGCCGCCAUCGGGCUCGCCGCGCCGCUGGACCCGUCAGCAUUUCGCGCGGGCCUGGCGGCCCAGACGGCUCGCCACCCCCACUUCUGCAGCAUCCAGGUGACGGGCAAGGACGGCGCGCCGCGGUGGGUCCCCACGGCGGUGAACGUCGACGACCACAUCGUCGUCGUCCCGAGGCUGGACGGCGCCGAGGCCGACCCGGACCGGGCCGUCGAGGACUACCUCUCCUCCCUCUCCACGCUCCCCAUGGACCCCGCCACGCGGCCGCCGCUGGAGUUCCACCUCAUCGACGUCCGGACCUCCGAGGCGGCCGCCACCGUGGCCAUGCGCGUGCACCACGCGCUCGCCGACGGCAUGGCGCUCAUCACGCUCCUCGUCUCGUCCUCCCGCAGCGCCGCCGACCCGGCGAUACCCGCGCUGCCGCCGCCCCCGCCGGCGCGCCGAGCGGGAGCCAUCUACGCUCCUGCGCCGCCGCGCUCCGGCGGGUUAAUAACAUUCCUCGUCGUGUGGGUCUGGUCGUAUCUCUUGCUCGCGUGGCACACCAUGGUCGACGUCGCUGCCUUCGUCGCCACCAUCUUCCUCACGGAUCCGCCCACGCUGUUCAAGCGAGCGGACCAUGGCGGCGAGCCGCGCCGCGGCAUGCGCUUCGUCCACCGGACCUUGAGCCUUGACGACGUCAAGUUCGUCAAGAACGCCAUGAACUGUGUACGUAUAUAAGAGCAAUUGAUUGUUUCAACAAUUUAUUUGCACAAGUUUUGCAUGUCUUUAAUUAUUGUUAUCAUUACUAUCAGAUUAAUUCAAAAAAUUAUUAGUUCCUUUCUCUUUUAAUCUGAUUUUUUUAGUAGUCCAUGUUAGUCGAGUCUCUCUCAUAUAUUUUGUGACGUUCCCUGUAUAUAUACGUGUAGACUGUCAAUGAUGUGCUAGUUGGAGUGACUUCUGCUGCUCUAUCACGAUAUUUCUUUCGGAAAACCGGUGACACAAAGACAAGGAAAGUAGUGUUGCGAUCAAUACUCCCUGUCAACACAAGGCCAGCCACUAGCCUACAAGUAAGAUGUUUGCCUUUAAUUUCUGGCAUGCAACUAAUGCUAGAUCUCCAUUUUUUUUCCCGUUCCCGUGACAUUUCUUUUUUUAAAAAAAAAGAAAUUUCAUCUCACUAUCAGAUAUCUUUGUAGCUCAUAAUAAUUACUAAUUUUCAAUAUGUGUAUGGGCAGAUGGAUGUUGAUAUGAUAGAAUCUGGUAAGAGUAAUGCUGUGAGAUGGGGAAAUCAACUGGGGUACAUCAUCCUUCCAUUUCAUCUGGCCAUGCACGAUGAUCCGCUCGAAUACGUUCGCAAGGCAAAACAGAUUAUAGAUAGGAAAAAGAGUUCACUAGAAGUGGUCAUCAUCCAUAUGGCUGUUGAAAUUAUCUACAAAAUAUUGGGCCCAAAGGUACAUUUACUACCAUUUUACACAUAUACUCUUCUAAGAUAUCAAAUUGAAAAAGACCUUCCACAAGUCAAAAGUCUCCAGUUUGUAAUUAAAUUAACUACCACAUUACCUCCUUGUAAGUGUACAUGUUUCUAAUAAUCACACUGCAAUGCAACUUGUCGCUUGAACCAGGCGGGAGCUUAUAUCUUCAAUAAUGUGCUCAGAAAUACAACCAUAACUUUCUCAAGCUUGAUUGGGCCACCUGAACGGAUAGAGUUAUUUGGGCAUCCAGUUGCCUACGUUGCACCCAGCGUCUAUGGGCUUCAACAAGUAAGCCACCCAGCCAUCUAUCUUCCAUACAAAACCUCAAGUCUCAAGUUACUUCCAAACUAAAUGCAACAUCGGUCGUGUAGUUUUGUCAAAUAACAAAAACGAUCCACCAGACAAUGCAUAAUAUAACGAUUCCAAUUUUUGCUGAAAAAUGCAAGAAAACAUAAAAAUAUUUAUUUGGUUAUGCAUGUUUUCCUCACAAAAAUACUACUUGAUUUUUACUCUUUGUAGGCUCUUACCGUGCACUACCAAAGUUACAGCAACACCAUCAAAGUCAUUCUAGCAGUUGAUGAGGCACAGUUUCCAGAUUAUUGCCAACUCUUGGAUUACUUUGCUGAGUCCCUCAACCUUACCAAGGACGCGGCUGCAAAGACUUCAGCAAAAUCGAUUAAGAAUGAGUAAGGAAGGAAGAAGGAAUAGUUCGGUGAAUGCUCCAGCUCAAGAGCCAGAUGUAUAUGUGCUUACUGGUACUGAUAAUGUGUACCGCAUUAAUAUGUGUGAUGUUGAGUAAUUAUUAGUAAAUAUGUAAAAUCUACCGGAGUGCAAUGUGUCUACUCUUGUUGUUAAAUAAUGAAGUUUGCCAAGUGAAUUAUAUUGGGGUUGAUAUUUUACACAUCUAGAUAGUAUGUCUAUCUAUAACUGUAUGUAUACAACUGUAUACAUGCAAUAUGUGUGUUUGUAUAUAUAGUAUAUAUUCAGAUCGAUGUAUAUAUACAUAUACAUCACCUUAUUAUUUCCUUCCCAGCCGAGCCAAAUUUGUAGAGAGCACCAUGACUGUCUGAGGUGGUUUUCAAACACGGCCUAUCCUAUUUAAUAACAAUAUACACAAUUACACAUCAACAUCAAUCAGCGCAAUGUCGGUCAUUUUCUCGUUCUUGUGGUUAUACUCUGACUAGCUAUGUAUCAUUAUGAAAUGUACUACAGUUCUAGGCUUCUAGCCUGCUUAUUAUGUUGUGGAGCUUAUUUUGCCUAUAACAGAUUUUAUGAAGGUAAAUAUAUAAUUCAAACCCCAUGAUCAAUCUUGUUACCUUAAUGCAAUGUUGUAGGCUUUGCCAACUAAAAAAUAAACUUUCUAUAGCGUUCAAUUAGGACAUCAUGCAUGCAGUAAGAGAUCAUAGAUCGUAACCAAAGAUGCAUGGUGCAGCGGAGGAAGAGUUGUAGAAACCCGACCAUCUUAAUGUCAUAUAUCUCGGUGUAGAGCAAGUAGUCGACCGUGCCCACGAACUGAACGUCUCCUCGCGUGCUGGCACCAACCCCAAACUCAUCACCAACCAGCACUGCAUAAACAGCAACAAUGACACCAAUUGUACAUGUUGAGGGGCUUGGAAUGAGAAAACUUAAAUAUUUGCAAAAAUUAGGGAGAGUGUCCAUUAGAAUGCUGACUUCUUUCAGACAUCUUUAUAUGAGUUUUUUUCAUAAGGAUUUCUCAUUCAAGGAGAGCAUGUUGACAAAAGGUUAUAUGUUAUAUCCCCCAUAGGGUUUUUUAGAUAUGGUCAUUUGAGACACGUUGGUAUUUAUCUAAAUUAACUAUGAAUAGGGUUUUUACAUUAUAUACCUAUAUCUAUAUUUCUUAGAUUUUGCACACACACCAUUUUUUAGAGAAAUUGUUAACAACUAUAGGAUGAUAAGACGAAGGACAGAAGGAGCAUCUGAUCAAGUGUUGGAAAUAGAUCGGGUAACUAACAGUUACUCCCUCCCAGCAUAGUUCAAAAAUCAUAUUUUUCACAAAUGAUAGUCCUAUUUUCCAUCAACGUAGACCACGGCAAUAAAUUACAUCGAUAAUGAGGACUCAUCGCUGCGACCACUGGAGGACUAAUGGGGAUCGGAGAAGCAUUUUGCAUAAAUUAGAUGAUAAGCAAGGUUGUUUUUCUUGUCUAUGUAUUGUCAAGGUGAAAUAUGUCUAUCAAAAGAGAACAGAGGAAGUAGUAGAUAAUAACCACUUGUGGUUGCUAAUGACAGAUAUGUGCGCCCCUUACUUUUUCGAGAAAUUUUGGAAAGUAAUCGCUUACUUCUCAGCAUUGCACGUAUAUGUCGCUUCACACACACAAACAGCAGGAUAUGGGUAUAUUAGCACUCCCAAUAGUACCUACAUCAUUUCUAUAACUUGUAUUAUUUUAUUUGUAAUCGCAUAGCACGACACCCUUGCCACUCCCAAUAAAUAUGGCAAUAAUAAUUCAGCUCCAACCGAAAUAGGAUGGCAAUAAUUAGGCUGGCAGAUGUUGUUCCAAUAAUUUAAACCCUUCUCUCAAAAAAUAAUAAUAUUUUAAAUCCUCUUGACAAUGUAUAAAUAGUACCAUCACUUGUAUCACUUAUGCUCACAUAUACAUACUCAUUAGUCAUCUCUCUUGAUAUCCUUGCCUUCACAACAACCAUUGUACUCCCAAUAGUCCAAGACGAUGCCAAGCACAUUGGCCCCGGUCCGUGAGAUCCGGCGUGCGCAGCGUGCUGAUGGCCCAGCAGCCGUGCUCGGUAUUGGCACUGCAAAUCCAGCGUUUUGUGUUCUUCAGGACGAGUUUCCGGACUACUAUUUCCGUGUCACGAAGAAGGAGCACCUCGUCGACCUCAAAGACACAUUCAAGACACUAUGUACGUAAGCUGCUUAAGUAAUCUACUGAAAAAAUGCUUGUUACUCCCUUUAUGUAGUCAUUUUAGUUUUAAUUGUCUUACAUUGAACUUCUUUAACUUUGAUCUAAUUUGUAAAAGAAAAAUGCACCAACGUACAUCUGCAACAUCAAACAAUUUUCAUUAAAUCCGCCAUUGAAUACGUGUUGAUAGUCCAGUGUCUUGAUCUAGAUGUUAAUGAUUUUUUUUUUUUUGGAAACAUUCUCAUAUUCUGACUUGAUGGCGAUCGACACUGCUCCCAACAAUUGGGUUAAUAAUUAGGUCGGCUCACGGGGCUGGAGAGACGUUUCUUUCACCACACGGAGCAACUGCUCAACGCCCACCCGGGCUUCAUCAACGGGACGCCCUCGUCUUCCCUAGACGCGCGGCUCGACAUCGUCGCAGAGGCAGCUCCAAAGCUCGCCGCGGCGGCCGCCACGGAGGCCAUCGCGAGGUGGGGCCGCCCGGCCACCGACAUCACCCACCUCGUCGUCGCCACGAGCUCCGAGGCCCGCGCCCCAGGCGCCGACCUCGGUCUCGCCGCGCUCCUCGGUCUCCGCCACGACGUCCGCCGCACCGUGCUCCAGCUCAACGGCUGCUCCGCCGGCUGCGCCGCCCUGUGCCUCGCCAAGGACCUCGCUGAGAACAACCGCGGCGCGCGCGUCCUCGUCGCCUGCGUCGAGCUCACCAUCACCUCCUUCCGCGCGCCCCGCGAGGACGACACCUUCGACACCCUCAUCCCGCAGGCGCUGUUCGGCGACGGCGCCGGCGCGGUCGUCGUCGGCGCCGACGCCGUGCACGCCGCCGGCGAGCGCCGGCUCUUCGAGAUGGUGUCCGCCUCCCAGGCCUUGAUACCCGGGACGGAGCACCUUCUCAACAUGCGGCUCGGGGAAGGCGGCAUCGACGGCGACGUCUCCGCCAAGCUGCCGAUCUUCGCGGCGCGGCACCUGGAGCGCUGCCUGCUCGACGCGCUCGCGCCGCUCGCCAUUGGGGGCGGCGAGGGGAAGUGGAAUGACCUCUUCUGGGCAGUCCAUCCGGGCAGCCGUGGGAUCCUGGACCACAUCGACUCGGUUCUCCGGCUGGAGCCCCGGAAGCUGGCGGCGAGCCGAGCUGUCGUCAGAGACUACGGGAACAUGCUCUCGGCGACGGUGAUAUUCGUGCUCGACGAGCUGCGCCGGCGGAUGGACGAGGAAGGGGAUGAGGCUUCUGAGUGGGGGGUGAUGGUGGGCUUUGGGCCGGGAUUCACUGUCGAGACCAUGGUGCUGCACGCUACAAAGUACUAGCAACAUGCUACAUGAUACGUCAAGAAAAAGUUUACAUUAGCACUUGUUUAAGAAACAAUGCAAAUUAAAGCAGGCAAAUUGAUGUUGAUCCCCUCAUUAUGGUUAAUUGGCAAAUGAAGCUGAUUGAUUCUACUCUAUUAUUUGUUGGAUCUGCAUAUAUCUGAUCGUAUAUGCAAUCUGUUGUCGUCCUUUUGUUGGUUAUUCUGUCUGAAAAAAAAUAGUCUCAAUUUCGGUUUUGUGGAUCAGUUUCAGUACACAAGGCUGCAGUGCACACGGAGAAGGAACUGAGGAACGAAGUAUCUUUGAACAAAAAGUUUAUCUUUCUACAUUGACAUCGAGGUGCUAUGCCAUCACAUGAAUCCCUUGUUCCGGGCUUGGUGCCGCAGUUGGGAACGAUGAUUGCAAGCUGCAUACAGUAGUGACUGAAUGCGUCGCCCUUAGUUUAUUCGAACCAGCUUAUUCACUUGCCCUCGAAGGUGAAAUCUCAAACUACCUAGCGGAGUUGGAAUAUGAUAUCAUUACGGAAACAUCUAAAUUAGGUUCAAAUUUUGUAAUGACCGCACCACCUCCUGUAUACCAUUUCCAAUCAACACCGUCUGAAGAAAAAUGAAUAAAAGAACUAACAAGAACACUUCCAAUUUCGGCCACAUAAAUCCGACGAUCACAUGUGAAAAGGAAAAACAAAUAAUGAGAUAGAUUUAUAUUUGAUUCUAGACUAAACUUGCCUCCACCAAGGUUGAUGAGCUUAGCCCUUACCAUGAACCAGUUCCUGGGUGUGUCGAGAUCCUCCAGGACAUGCGACACCUCCGGUGGUUGCUCCAGGGAAAUGAGGUACUCCAUGGCAGAGAGGUCCGAUGUCGCACACAGGUGAUGGGGCUUGUUCGGGGGAGAAGCCGAGCCAGAGCUCGAGGUCGGGGACGUACGCUACUCCGCCCAUGAACGGCAGCUCCCAGUAACCGGCGUGCCACCAUUCACGUCCCAUCGUUUUUUCGUGAAUACGCAGGAGAGCUGCGUAUCUUUGUAUUAAGAAGAAAAAAGUUUUGUACAUCGGGCCUAUUCGGGCGCACGCACACGGGUUUAAGCAUGUUUUAGCUUACAUUACACCACCGCAACGACAACACAGGUGGCACAGAAAGGCCGAAAUCAAAAAUGCUGAUCUAAAACACCUGAUGGUAUCGGCCAGCCUAUGGUAGCUAGGUGUUUUGCACCAGAGGCGCACCAGAGUUGCCCUUCCUGAAUGAUCUCCUGCAGCAGUUGUGAGGCAUCCUUUGGUGGCGAUCUUGCAAACACCCUUUCAUUGCGUUCCUUCCAUAUUUUCCAUGAAACAAGUAUAAACGUUGAAUCGAAGCCUUUCAUUUGCCCGGAAUGGACACCGCUUCUCUUGCUGAGCCACCAGUCUAGCAGUCCGACUUCAUUUGCCGGGAUGGCGUUGUGCAGGUUCAGUACUACACUGACUCGAUGCCACACAUGCAUAGAGAAAGGGCACCUAGAGAAGAGGUGAUCUGUAGUCUCUGACUCCUGGUCACACAGGCCACAACGCGCAUGAUCUUGCAAUCCUCGUCUCUGCCUCCUAGCAUGUGUCAAAGCAACAGGUGCCAAAGCUGCAUGUGUGCUGCCUGGGAACGAUGACAAGCAGAUGGUGCGGCCACCGUCGAUCACGGUGUGGGAGGCGACAGCUUCGUUGGAGGGUGGCCGUGGAAGAGACUCCCAUUGCCAGGCUUCGCGGCUGGUGGGCCAACGAAACAAGUCGGCGGGGCCAAAUCCGAGGACGUGGAAGCCGGAGUGCAAGACGUAGAGGUCCUCUUCCCGGCCGUCAGGGUUGCCGGUGGAGACGACGGCGGUGGGCUUGAUCCCGGUGAAACCUUUCAUGGUGGGCACGAUCAGGUUGGAGUGCGCGUCGGCGUCGUAGACGACGGAGUGGCCCUCCUUGUUGCAGCGAAGAACGGCAGAUCCGGCCAGUCCGAGAUGAGCGUGGGGUAGAAGAGAUGCUUGGAGACGUCCAGGCGGUGCACCGUGUACAUGUUUUUUUUACUGCUCCGCCACGAUGAUCACGAACCGUCGCGUGAUCAUCCUCUUCCUUCCUAGUCUUGGAUCUGUGGCUGAGAAGAAAUUAGGAGGCCCGCGCAGGGAUUAAGUCUCUCCGGUCAGGUGCGGAGGCGCCUAGCCACCUGGUACGCGGCGGCACUGCGCUCGAAGAGGUCGCCGACAGGCGUGGCGACGCCCGUUCUGCCGCUGCCGAUUUUGGGGGAACGGAGGGGUUUUCCGUACUGGAGGAGCAGAGAGGAGAGAGGUCGCCCGUUUCUCCCUUCGUGGGUUGGCCUGGUGGGCUCGAUUGGGUCGCGCGUUGGGCCGAAUUACGAAGCAGGACGGAGAUUUCAGCCUGGUGUGUAUAUAACCUGCUUUGUAGAAGCGGUCCAAUAUGGACCACGGCCCACCCGUUGUCCUGGCGGGCCUGGGCCGAAGGGACUACGUGGCAAGGCCCAUGGGGUGCAUGUUUCACUCUGAAUUUGACUAGUACGACUGAACUAUAGUGCAUGUCAUCCAUGGGAAUUCUGAAAGUUAUCCUUCCACGUUCCACCACCUAGUGCCCUCGGUGUUUCUCAGAAAAAAAAACUAGUGCCCUCGGUAAGUAAGGUCUCUGUCUUCAUUAUCUGAAAGAUAAAUUCUUUUUCUUGGAUUUCUUCAUCUCUAUGACUGACGAGUAGGUAACCAACAUGCGGUGCAGUCUUAACUUUGUGCUGUGUGAACAGGGGGUUUUGCCGGUUGAUAGGGGGAUUGGAUGACCUGGCUGGGUAGGAAAUCAUGGUAGAAAAUGGGUUCUACAUACCAUGGAUGUAGAGGCAGUACUUAGAGCUAUACAACUAAAGAGGAAGGUGCUCAGAGGGAUAAAUGGCAAAUUGUUCCAAAUUAUCAAAAGAGAUUGGAGUUUGAGAAACACAUUGCCAGCUUUUGUAGGCCAGUUUGUGCUGGUCGAGGCAUAUGGCAGGUUUCGAUGGCAGAAUUCACCUUCGUUGUUGAUUUGAAUAGCAGAACGUGUGGAUGCAGGAAGUGGGAUGUAACUGGUAUACCGUGCUGCCAUGCUGUGUCAGCCAUACAAGCAUUCAACCAUAGGCCUGAGGAAUAUGUGGAUGAUUUGUUCAAAAAAGAGGCAUAUUUGCUAGCAUAUGCAGGACAAAUCAUGCCUGUCCCAGAUAAGACACGGUGGCUGCGGACUCCAUUUCCAGGUGUUGAUCCACCUAGAUUCACGAUACAACCUGGGAGACCAAAGAAAAAGAGAAGAAGGGCUCCAGGUGAGCGACAUGUGGCAUCAAGAUCGUCAAAAAGGGUAGCAAUCAGGUGUAGCCGUUGCAAGAGUUUUGGCCACAAUGUUUCUGGUUGCAAGAUGAGGAAGAGUGUGGAAAAUAGGGUUAGUUCCUAUACUUGUGCCUACAACUAUUGGCAUGGUACUGAUAUUGUCUAUGAUAAAAGGCCUUACAUUUUUACAUUUGCAGAGGGGACCAAGACAAAAGGUUCGCAAGAGAAGAGGGGAAGGAAGCCCAAGAAUGAUGCAACUUCUAGCUCACAUGAGCAAUCUCAGCAAAAUACUCAGAUAAGUGCACCACAGAAGAGGGGAAGGAAGCCAAGGCAUGAUUCUACUUCCAGCUCACAUCAACAAUUUCAAAUGAUGUCCAAUUCUCAGCCUGAGGUUCAGAUAUAUUCACAGCAACCUCCUGAUGCUAUACCCAUGAACAAUAGGUAUGGAAUUGGGACAUUCCACCAUGUUGAAGGAGGCCCCACAAUUGACAGGAUCAGAGCUUCAAGGGAAAGAUUGCUUAGGAAGAAGUAGUCAUGUGAACAAAACAGGGUAAUGUGGCCAUUUGUAAUUUGUGUUGCCUUGUACAACCUUGUUACAUUGGGCCAUGUGACCACCUGUUGUAAAUAUAUGUGUACAAGAAGUGUCAUAAACAACAUUACAUUUUAUUUGCCUGCAACAAACAAUCUGUCAUUGCCAUGAUAUUUGUGUCAUCUCAACACAAGCCAUCUUUUUUAUUAGUUCAGAACACACAAGCCAUCUUUUUUUAUUGAUUUGGUGUUGAGCACAUACAUAACAAGCUUGUUCAGAACAUGUGUUGCAUCUGCAGAGCUAUAAGACAUACAGACAUUGAACCAUGGCACCUACAUCUACUGAAUCAUGACAUCCAUAUCUGCAUAACCUCGACAGUUGACAUCAUUCUCACAGCAAAAAAGGAUCUAUCUUGGGAUUGCAAGUCCCAGUAAUCAUGCCACUCUUCAUAGACAAUAAUUCUUCCUCUUGGAAUUCAGCUUAUCCUUCAUUUUUUUGUGCUAUCUUGCACCCAGUUUUCACCCCGUUUCUUCUGUAUGUCCAAUGCAAAGAGUCCACAAUACUUGUUUCUGCUCAACCUGCAAAAGAAACAAGGAAUUUUAAUAAAAAAUUCAGAAGACACAGGACAUCAUUUACCAAUAACAAUAGACCGAUUGAAUGGCCAAUUAGUUAGAUAUUAUCAUAAAACAAGCUCUACGAGCUAAAUGAAAUUGAUAUGCGAAAGGCAUGUGUAUCAUUGCUCUGUCUUACUGAUAUUCUGAAUUUUUUGUACGACAUCAUUGUUCAGGCUUUAGACCGGAACAUGUAUCCGAGUACCAUCGGCUUCGGCAAUUAGCUUCCUGACGAGAUUAAGCUGAUUUUCAUGCUAGCUUCCUAAACUUUAAUGUCCAAUACCUAAACCAAAUCUCUAAUUGCCCGCAAAAAAAUACAAAUCUCUAAUUCCCAAAACCUGUACCAAGAUUGACGGCACACCUGUGGGACAUCAAUCUGUCCUGCUUGCGAUUCGCGCCGGCGCCCUCGCGCAGCUUGCCGCCUUGCACCGUUGCGCUGCUGGCAGCUUGCUGCCGCUCAUCGCUGGUUGCCGGCCGCUGCCUCGCACCGCCGUGGCACAACUGUGCGACAUCAACUCGCGAUUCGCGUCGUCGCGCUUUGCACCGUUGCUCUGAUGGCCGCUUGCUACCGCUCAUCGCUGGCUGCCGGCCACCGGCCGCCGCCUCGCAUGUUCCCCUGGCCGCCUCUGCUCCGUCUCGCCUACGACGAAUGCAGCGGCUGGCCGCGUCGCGCGUCCGGCUCGGCUCGGUGGCCUGGUGCGGUCUUAACCAGGCUGCGACGUGCGAGACUAUGCCACGCUGGCUGGCACGGGCCGACGUGGUACGUGGCCACGUGGGCUCCGGGGGGGGGGGGGGGGGUGCCGAUUGCGCCUAGGCCGGGAGCAACAAAUGGGCUUAUGGGGGGAUUAUCAAACCGAAGGUGACAUAUGGGGGGUUUUAUACAAUUUUGCCUUUUGUUUUCCUCCUGCAACCUGAUGAAAGUGAAGGCCUGUUGCCGUCGUCUUCUCGCCGAUGCGCAUGAUGAUGGGCUGCCGCGCGCUGCGCGCCUUCUUCUUGACAGCCUGGGGGUGGCGCCGGGCCGGGGCCCGGGGCCCACGCCACCAAACGAAUGCAAGUUGCCCGGCACGGGGACGGUUGGGCAGGUACCUCCGGAUGGGCCAUGGGCCAGCCCGGUGUCUCGUCCGUGCAUGGACACUAUUCGAUCCCUCCAAAAUCUAUUCAGGUGCCCGAUUUAGAUACUGCUUUCCUUCCCAUCAAUCACUUUCUCCCUCCAUCCCAAAUUACUAUUCCUUUUAGAUUUUCCAAAAAAAACUUUCAGCAAUCAUGUUGGUUGCCCCUGCUCUCUCGACCAGCAUUUUGUUGGUCGAUUGGAUCGGUAAUCAGUACUGAUGAAUAGCACUUUAAAUGUUUCCUCCUCUUGCUUAUAAGAAAAUGUUUUCUCCUUUGUCGGACAUGUAUGUGUACUUGGAUGCUUCAAUUUUACAUGCAUGAUUUGAUCCCAAAUCAUAAUCUUGAUGUACCAAACGGGAUAUCGAGAAUCUUUUAUGUAUCAGAAAGAAAAUCAAGAAGCACGUACUAAACAAGACAUUAACGAUCCGUGAGCGCCGCAUUAGUGGCUAUCUAAUCAGCUAGUGCUGCAUGUCUUGUUCUUGGAUCAGCAUCACAGUCUGCGACGCUCCCGGCCUACGGGCCAGCCCGGUGUCUCGUCGAUGCUUGGACUUUUCGAUCCCUCCCCCACCUGAAUUGACGUUGCCUUUGGCCAAAAAACUUUGGCAUUUUGGGGAUGUUACAGAAGCUCGGGGGUUUUGCACGUGGUUGUGCUUACACGGGGGAAAGCAAAGCAAAUUACACCAGGACUCUACGACGGGAGCGUCCGCCCGCGGUAGGCGGGAUGCCCAAAGCCGUGCGUCUUCUCUGCACGAACGGAGGAUGUUGUUUAGGCACGGUUGUUGCUCGUUGAAGACGACGCCAUUUCUGUGUUUCCAGAGGUGCCAACAACAGAGGAAGGUGAAGACGUCUCGGUGCUUCCGCGGGAGGCCGCCGGGCAGGGGCGCGCGCCACAGCUCUCGGUGCAUGGCUCCGGUGCGGCGGCGGCCAUCAGUGUACGGUACAGGAGCGAGGUGUUCAGCUGCCCCGCGUCCCUUGUAGCGGGCAGCUGCGGACGUCGUCCCCAUCGCUUAGUUGAUCUUCGGCCAGCAGUUCAUGCAGCUUCUCCUUUUCCGCCGCUCCGGCGCGUGUGAGCCUUGGUUGGAGGUAGCCGUCGAUGCCCCCUUAGAGCGCCGGCAGCCUUUCAGGCAGGGGUCCUGUAGGGAGCCAGGAGUCGUCCCAGAAGGCCAGAACGACGUGCUAGCACCAUCCCGGACCUGCACUGUGGUGAUGGUGCGGUACGUCGGCAGGAGCUCUCGCAGUGAGUUCCAGUGGCUCCCCACGACGUCGCCCUCCAGCGUGACGAGGUUGACGUGCCGCCGCACCCAACGCGCCCAGGCGGAGCCCGACGGGUGGAGCAGCCGAUGCAGCAGCUUGAGGAGGAGGCACUGGUUUUGGAGUCCCAAAUGCUUCAAUCCAAGUCCGCCGAGCUCCUUUGGAACGCGGACGUGCUCCCAGCCGACGAGACAUUGGGCUCCGUUUGCGUUUUCUUCACCGGUCCACAAGAAUGCCCGGCGUUUCGCGUCAUGGAGGUUCUAAUGCAUACCAGUAUACUAUUGUAUACUCCAUGUAAUCUCCCAUCGUUUAGAGUAAUUAAUAAGUUUACAUGUGUUUGGUUGCAUGGAUGAUUCUGGAUGGAAUGGUAUAACCAAUUUACUUAUACCAUAUGAUGUAUUAAUGCUUAUACCAACCAAAUAAAAUGAUGAUUAUUAAUUUUAAUCAUUUCAUAUAUGAAUUAAAUGAUACAACUAACCAAACAGUAGCAGGAGUAGUAUUACGCGCACACGUAUACGUGCAUGCCUUGCAUCGUGGAGUAGUUAGCCAGUUGGCCUGCGGCCCCUAUCUCGCCCGUGUUGCUCACCAGCUGCGCGCGCACUAAGGUUGGAUUCGAUAGGACAGAGUUAGCUCUGAUGUCACGUUCUUUCUACAACUCCUGCUAGAAUGCUAGCUGCAAAUACCAGCUAAUAAUCCUCGAAACCGAGAGCAGUAACAUGAAAAAAAUCCGGAGCACCGCGAAUGCACGCAUGCGGUGCACCUAGCUGGCUAGCUGGGCAGAGCUGGGUUCAUUGUCUUGCGUCAUGGUCCAUGUGGCAUUCGGCAACGCAUGACCAUUUUUUGUACGUGCACCAAAAACCCUUGUUGACAUGAUGAUGUCUACACGUUCGGCCGGGUGGAGAGGGUCCGACUUUUUUGUUUUUUUUGUUAUUUUUUAAAGAUUCUCACAUAUACGCUCUGGUGGAACCAUUUCAAAAUCUGGACUCUUAGCUUGACGCCAUUCACGCUGACGUCAAUCUUGCAUAUCUUGGCAUCAGCCUUCCUAGCGCUAAGGUCCAUGCGCAUAUGCUGGUAGGAGCUUGACGCCAGCUAUUGUGACGAGGGUUGACUACUUACAGCAGGACAGGUACGUACGUAGUACAUCAUGUGAAUGGCAUUGGACGAUAUAUAUUGAUCCGUUUUGGUCCGUGCUCUGUACCGGGCAGGAAUUAGCUCGUCCUGACCGGUGUGCAAUUAUAUUAGUAUAUAAGUUAACUGUUAACAUAUCGAAUUUGGUACGUGACACCCGGCGCAUCUCGAGAGAGAGAGAGAGAGAGAGAGAAUAAUUCCAACAUCUGGCGCGGUCGGUACAGUACUACGACGAGCACGCACGCAGCCCUCCAACAUGAUUGGGAGUUUGGGACCCACCCACAGGCAGUGGGGUGCGCGCGUGCAUGCACGCCGCCACGUUCGUAGUGGGGGCGGCGCUGACGUGCCGGGCGCCGGCGGAGCAGUGAUCCGGCCCGCCAGGCGCCAGGAAUGGACGUGAUUGUCUGUUCGUCCCGCGGAAGGGGACGGAAAUUAUUGGGCACAUGUUUCACAUUCGUUCCUCGCCUCUCCUAGCUAGGUUAAACGUCUUUGUCGUCAUAUGGGUAAUACUGCAAGGGUGCAAGAUCUUGCAGCUUAAUCAUUGUGAUUGCACCCGAGAAUGGGAUCUUGUGACGCGGAAAAGGACACGUAGGCUCGAUCGAGCACCGUGUGUGGCAGCGUCGCAUUAUACGCAGAGACAGAGGGUCCGGGCAGCCGGUCAGGUGUCGUUUCCACACCAUCUGUGUGAGUAUACAUGCACAUGAGCAAGAUCACGCAGUCACGCAUGUGCAUGCCAUGCAGAGUUAGUUCUGAUGUCACGUUCUUUCCACAACUCCGAUCCGGCUGCAAGUACCAGCUAAUAAGCCUUGAAACCGGGAGCAGCAACAUGAACAAAAUCCGGAGCACCGAAUGCAUGCAUGCGGUGCACCUACCUGGCCAGAGAGCUAGGUUCAUUGUCAUGCAUGAUGGCCCACAUAGCAGUUAGCGCGCAUGACAUUUUUUAACCCUUGUUGCCGUGCAUGAUGUCUACACGUUCGGCCGGGUGGAAAGGGUUGACUAUAAAGAGCAGGCCGGACAAGUACGUACACGUAAGUACAUCAUGCGCAUGGCAUCGAGCGUCCAUGUUCGCGCACUCUUGUGCUUCCGCAUGUAGGGUUAGUUCGUCGUCGGGGAUCGAGACGACAAGCUUGCAUUGCGACGGUGGUGCGUCACGUACUCCCCAUGCAGAACGUUAUCCAGUACCACCUGGGCACGCGAAAAACAGCCAAAGAUCUGACGAAGUCCAAGCUAGCUGAGCAGCAGCAGAAAACAAUAUCCGAUCCGGAGCGCUGAAUGCACUGCACCCUGUACCAAGAUCGAGCAACUCGAUGCAUCGCAUUUAGGAUGGGGGUAUGGAGGUCGUGGACUCCGGACAGAGUGAAGUUUACUGCUAUCUCCUAGCUCGAGGUAGUAGAGCGAUAGCUCAUCCCCACCGAGUUUCUGCGAAGAACCAUUCGUUUGUACAUACCCACUACUACCUUAGCACACGCACCAAAGUUUGUACUAGCUAGCUAAAACCUAGCUCUCUUAGCGCAACAGAUUUUUACCAUGCUCUGGUGUGGUGCGGUACCCGACCACAAGAGCACCAGAUGCAGCACCUGAUGAAAUUGAAGCAGCACUGAAGCCUGUUUGGCUGCAUGCUUGCAUUGGCCGGUUUCAUGCUCUGCUUUGUCGUCUUCUCGUUUGAUGGUAUGGCUGUUGGCUGCUGCUGCAGUGCCUGUGCCUCUCUCUCCUGCUUUCCAGCCUGGGGUGGCGUGAGGGCACCCCAUGGGCCAUGGACCAUGGGCCAGCCCGGUGUCUUGUCUGCGAAUGGGGCUGGCUAUUCCAAGUCAGUCCAAGCGCGAUUCAGGUGCCUGAUUUAGAUCCUGCUUUUCCCCAUCAUCACAAAUUAAUAAUAAUAUAAUGCUACCAAAUCUUACUCGCCUGAUCUGUCAAGUGAGAUUGUUGCUGUAUCAUGUAUGGCUGAGUUUUUGCCUGACAAGCUAAUGGGCUGCUCUGCUAGGGAGAAUCUCAACGCAAGCAUUGCCAUUGCUGCUGGAAAUAAAAAAGCCGUUGCAUUCACAGUACAAACUUUAUUUUGGGAUUUCAGCCAACUAUUUUAUUCCCUUUUUUCAAAGAAUAUCCAUACAAAUAGUGUCUGUCUGGAACUAAUUGUAUAUGAGGUCACGCUCCUAGAAAAGCCUCACACUUUCUUUUUUUUUUUUUUGAAAAAGCCUCGCACUUUCAGCGUCCACUGCAAUCAUGUGGCUUGCUCGUGAUGGCUCCACCAGCAUUUGUUGGAUCGGAUCAGUAAUCAGUACUGAACUACUGAUAAUAUAGCACUUUGAAAUGUUCCCUCCUUUUUCCAUAUAAAAUCCGUUUCCUCCCAUCCUUUUUUCCUACAUAAAGAAAUGUUUCCUCUCCUUUGCUGGAGACAUAUACUUGGAUGCUACUCCGUACAAUUUUCUACGAUUUUUCGAUCCCAAAUGAAAUUUCAGAUGCACACCAAACGGGACAGCAACAGUAGGCCAAAUCCAUCAGGUGCCUACCACAGGCUCGUUCGUUAAUUAGUGCCUAAUCGAUGCUUGGACUCUUCGAUCCCUCCAAAUCCAUCCACCAAAGCAAACCUCAUCAGGUGCCCGAUUCACCACCACCAAAUCUCGCAACGUCUCAUGUCACCUGCCAAACGAGACUGUGGCUGGAAUGGCAAGGGCCUGCCUAGCUUCACUGAAUAAAGAAAUUUCACGGCACAAGCAUCGCAAUUGCUGCUGUGGUUGUUCUUCAGUCAUUUCUUGCAUGCAUUCUGAUUCAGCUGGCAGACUCGAUUAUCCCUCACUUUGAAGCAUCCUCUGCAGCAAAAAAAUUUGCUGGAUCAGCCAACCAUUGUACGGGGAUAAAUCUCUCCGAAUUAUUGGAGGUUCCAACCUACAACAGUGAUUGUUCUGUAAUUAUUAUUAAUAAUGGGUGCCAUUAUCUGCACAGUUAGAUAUGCAGCAUUCAUAUUUAAUCAUAAUAAUCAUUGAGCAGCUCCUGUGUGUGUGUGGGUGGUAAUCACCCGAAGAAUAAUUGCAGUCACCAGAUACGUAUUCCUGCCCGUACAUGCAGUAUCUAUUCGGUAGACAGUACAGCGCAUGCUCCCAGGAGUAGCCGAAAGAUUCCUCGGUAACAAAGAAUACCAGAGAGGAAGCAGUAGAAUGUACUGUACAUUCGUAUCAUUGCAGCGCUGUGCCGUGCGUUCCAGAGCAUGAAUGUUCCCACACGCACGUACAGUACAGUGUAAUGUGCGAGCGUCGCGGUACGGGGAACAGGUAGAAUAAGCAGGAGUCGUCGUCGCCAGUCGUGGUCGCGGGUCUGUAUUCCGGUCAAUGAUUUGGCCUGGCAGGCAGGCCAGCCGCACAGGCUGGUGAGAAGGCAAGAUCCUCCAUGCAUGGAUGGACGGCGCCGGCAGCAGGAUGGCUGGCCGGAGGUUAUUCCCGGUGCCAGCCAGCCAGUGUCGACGAACCCGGCGGCAGGGAAGCGGCGAUGUGAAAUGCAUGAUGAAUCCGUCGCAUCUCGACAGAGAAUUUGGACGGGGUGCCGCGCUAGACAAGCAUGCACGCAAACGACGCAACGCAAUGUCCAAGUGGAUCCAUCCAUCCAUCCAUCCCUCCUCCAACAUGAUUGGGCUCGCUCAUGCUUCGCGUGGUUGUGGCUCGUUGCUCGCGUCGGGCCCACCAGGCAGCCACAGGGCCGGCCGGCCGGACGCGUGAGGCCUGGGCUCCCAGCCAGCCGGGGCGACGUGGCCACCUAGCUACACGCUAGUAGUACACGCGGGUGGGCCCAGCGAGGAACGGCCGUGGACCGGAGGCGCAUGCACGCCGCCACGUACGUGGGGACGCCCGCUGACGUGCCGGGUCCCGGCGCCAACACCGAGUGAUUCCGCCAGCCUGGAACGGAAUUGAUGCGAAUGAAAAAUGAUUAAUUUAUAUUUAAUACUCCUAAUUAGUAUCAAACUUCGUGGCUGGUACUAAAAUCCAUUUUCUUUGAGGGCAGUCCCAAUGGAAGAAACCAACCUAGUUUCCAUAGUCUAGGAUAUUGUAUCAAGAAAUCAUCCUUCACAAUACAACUUUUUUAUCUAGAGUCUAAAUAAAAAUCCAACCAAUCAUUAUCCCUUCUAGUACCAGAUCCUCUGUGCAUCAUAUAAAGGAGCUCGAGUGAUGGGUAGCAACGGUGCAAGCGCAAAGGAUCCUGCAGUAAUUAAGAAGAAACUACUUGGGUCUCCCCAAUGCAGAAUCGCUGAUUUCUUGGCUCAUUGGUGCGCGUGAGGACUUGGUUUCCUCUCUAAGAAAUGGUUUUUCUCUCUCUCCAUAAUAAAUCUACUGCCACAUCAGCAAAUUGCUUAGUUGGCAUGACAAUUAAGAGGGAUAGAAACUAUCAUCAAUGUUCCAUUGGGACUGCCCUGAGAGAGAGACAGUGGACAACAAUAAUUGCGCACAUGUUUUGCGUUCCUGCCCUCUCCUGGAUUAAAUGUCUUGUCAGGGUUACUGUAGCAACAAGCAAGCCAGCAACUGUGUCCCUCCGCUUUUUAAUCAUCGCGUUGCGCGGUAGCGGUGCUACUUGGGCACAGCUACACUGCCCCUGGCGCACGCGAUCUUGUGACUCGGAAGCGGACACGUCGGCUCGAGCACUGUGCGGCAGCGUCGCGUUACGUGCAAUGAGGGCUUUUGAGGGCCAGGACAGCCGGUCAGGUGUCGUUUCAACAGCAUGUGGACGUAUACAUGGAUAUCCUCUUGUGUGGCGAAUUCAUCAUGGAUAACACAAUACUUUAUGUAAUCUCUAUCCUGUAGUUUAUUCUGCUCCACCGGGAUAGUUUAUUAGGGUCGUCGGACCCCGACGAAAUCUCAGCGUAAAACACUCUUCAUUUCUAUACUUGAUCCUGCUGUCCAAAGUAGCCGACUCAGAUGGCAGGCUCGUCUGGCUUCACCCCAGCUCGGCUCUAAAGAUAUGUGUGUGUCCGACUCCAAAUCGGAGAGAGAAGAAUAAACAAAGGUGACCAUACAGUACCUGCGUUAACUAUCCAAAACACGUCGACGAUGAUGACGUUAUAUACGUGGAAGAACAAAUAGGGAACCAUCCACAACUACACAAACAUUCGUCACCGUCAGCCUCAAAUCCGACGUCACCGACGAUUUUGAUUCCGUCGACGGUGAUGGGCUCUGGCCACACCCGCACCAGAGCCUCACCGCCACCACACACCGGAGCACCAAAGAGAGGGGGGAAGCUCACGCGCCUUGUGAUCGCCGUAGGUCGUCUCUUACCUCGUCGCACCACCGACCGCUGAGGUAACGCCGUUGCUCCACCCGCACCGCCGCUCCUCCACCUGCGUCGCUACCCUCCACGUACACCUCACCCCGCCGCCGCGCCUCACCGCUAGUGAGGGCGAGUGGAGGAAGGAGGGGAGGGGCAGCCCUACACCUUCGGCCGCGGCUGCCACCGCACCGUUGCGAGACGAAGGGUACAGAGAGGAAGAGAGAGGGGGCGGAGAGACAGGACGUGGGGAGAGAGACAAGUGCACGUGAGGGAGAGAGGAGGGGAUAAGGCGGGCGUGAGAGAGAGAAGAGUGCGUUUGAGCGGAUAAGGCGGAUGUGAGGUGCUAUGAAUGGAGAUGGAUAGAAUUUUUGGGUCUGAACCUCAAGGUUAUCACCGCUGGUUUUAGUUUUCAUCGUCGCCGUUGAAAAUCGGCGGUGAUGGGCCGGCGGUGAUGGCAUUUUCUAUAGCAGUGAAUCUUUAAACAAAAACAAAGAAGUCUUUAAUUUUGCAGACCAGACGUGGCAAUGUUGCUCACCAGCUAUACGGUAGUGGUACCGGUAUAGUACGCGCGCAUGUGCAUGCGCAUGGCAAGCAUCGAAAUUCGCGUGCAUCCGUCCAUGUUGCAUUGCGCACCAGCUGCGCCAGCGCGCCCUAGCCGGCCGCUAGGGUUGGGCCCAGGAAAAGACAAGGUUCGUACGUUCUGUGUCCAGGUACUUCCACGACUCCUGCUGCCAACAAAUUAUCACCAGCAGAAAUCUUGAAGCCGAACAGUAACAGGAACAAUAUCCGGAGCGCCGAGUGCGGUGCACCUAGCUAGCCAGAGCCGAGAGCUAGUAGGUUCAUGCAUGGUCCGCGCACAGCAUUUAGUGCAAUAACACGACCAUAUUUGUGCACCGAAACCAGGCAUUCUUCUUUCUUGCCACGACGUCUACACGUUCGGGGUGGAACGGUUGCACUGUUGGUUCAUGAACUAGAUAAGGACACGUACGUACAUCAUGUGCGUGGCAUUACAUUACACGAAUUUCGAUGUUUGUGCACUCUUGUGUCCGCAUAUCUAGUGUUCGUUCGUCCGGGAGGCGACAAAUUUCGCAUCGCGACGAUGCGUACACGUCGUCACGUACGCUCCCAGUUUAUCCAGUACCGCGGCGUGCAAAUAAAACAGCCAAAGGUCCGACAAAGUCCAAGGUCAUCAGCAGCAACAGAAACAAUAUCCGGAGCGCCGAAUGCACUGCAUCGCGUCUAGAAUGGGUCGUUGGGGUCGAUGCAUGUUUCUCGCCACGAAGCACGGGACCUGCGACUGCUAAUGGGCACACCAUCGGACGGUCCACCACGCCAGAUUUAAUUUAUGCUGGCACAUAAAAUUUAAUGUGCUAGCAGGUGUGAUUGGCACCCACCAGCAGAAAGCUUCCUUAGCUGAUAGGGGAGCACCUGCUAGCACAGAAAUCACUGUGCUGGUGAGCAACAUAAGCCACCCACCACCCACCAGGACAGAUGGACCAUCUGUGCUGGCGGGCGGGGUCCAUCUGUGCUAGCGGGUGGUUUAUGUCGCUCGCCAGCACAGACCUCGCGCAGAUAAGAUCGUGGGCAUCUUCUUCCCUAGCCAACCUUCCGUAGUAGUUUUAAUAUUAGCGUGGCAAAAAAUAGCUCUAUUCCAAAUGUUGGAUUUUUAAUAAUAUGAAUUAUAUAUUAUGUACGAUGCAGUUUUGAAUAAUGUGAAUUAUUUAUUAUUCAAGUUUGUUGUUACGUGGUUGGAGAUACAUAUUUCAAUUUGAUUGCUAAAAAGUGGCAGGAAAUAGAAAUCAUAAAUAACUCACGGAAAAUAAUAUAUUGAAUGAAAAAAUACAUAUUCUUGGAACCAUCUAUGCUGACGAGUGAUGUAAGCACCCGCAAGCACAGAAAGUAUCUAUGCUAGUGGGUGGCUAAUGUCGUCCGUCAGCAUAGCGGACGAGCACAGACGGCAUUUGUGCUGGGUUAAGGUUGUUGACAGGUCUCGCACCUGCGAGCACAAACCUGUUCUAGCCGCCAGCACAUAUACUUCCCGGCGCAGUGGUCCUCGCGCCCUCCCCCAGGCGUCCAGCUAUACCAGCUCUUCCGCGCGGGCGGGGUUGGGAGAUGGAGUCGUCGCCGUCGUCGUAGAACGGACAAGUGCCCGGCCGUCUCGUCGCGACGCGCCCAUACAUGCAAGCGUCAAGCGUGAACCGUCGACGUCGAGCAUGCAUGCUAUGUAUUUUUGUGCACCGAAACCAUGCGUUCUUGCCAUGAUGUCUACACGUUCUGGUGGGAAGGUCGUUGACGAUAGACACCGUUCGUUCAUGAAGUAUCGUUCAUGAAGUAGAUAAGGACAGGUGCGUACAUCAACGUACAUCAUGUGCAUGGCCGAUGGCGUUCCUCCUCCGCGCGCGUCCAUGUACGUGCACCCUGUGUCCGCCGUACAUCUAGGGUUAGUUUAGUUUGUUCGUCCGGGAGACGACAAUUAUUCCUGCAUCGCGAGGCGACGACGGUGCGUCGUCACGUACGACACUCCCAGCUUAGCCGAUCCAGUACCUUGGCAUGCAAAACAACGAACAAAGGUCUGGUGCCAAAGUCCAAGGUGAGCAGCAACGUGAUGCCCAUCCGCUAGUUUUGUAGGCACCCGCGCAUGCAGAAGCGACGACCUGCGACGAAGACGACUGAGACCAUUGGGCGGCCACGUGAUGCCCAUCCGACGGUCCUCACGCGCCCCGCCACGCGUCCCGUGUGGGCACACCACCAGGUCUCCCGCGGAGAUGGACUCGUCGUGGUCUCACGGAUAUCGUCGACGUCGACUCGUCGCCGUAGUAUGACGGCCAAUGAGAGCCCGGCCGUCACGUCGUUCGCCCAUACGUGCAGGCGUCAAGCGUGAAACCUCAUGCAAGCAUGCAUGCAUGCAUGCACCGCGCCAAUCGCAAGUGUUUGCGCGCGCGGUGGCACCCGGCCGCCCCGGCCGUCUCCUCUCUGCUAGCUCUCGUUUGUCUCGACCCAUUCGCUCCUCCCGAGGAAACAAACCGCUGCAAGGUUUUUUCCCCCAUUUUCUGUCCUAAAGGAAACUAAACAAAAGGACAAAGUAGAGCUUCUACCACUACUACUAUCUCCUACCUUCGGAUAGAAGCCUAGAACGGUAGCUCGACGCCACCGAGUUUCUGCGAAAACCAUUUGCUUUUUUUGCACGCUUUUUUGCCCGCUGUUUUCAGAAAUUUUAGCAGUAGCCUAGCCUUUUCUGUUUCUCGAGAAUAUUGGUCUUCAUCAUGAAGCUACGUACUUUGUAGCAGGCACUAAAGUUUGCACUAGCAGCUUUGCAGCACAAGUUGGCCUGGCCGCCCCCAAAAAUUCGUGAUCGAUAUUUCGGCCUCACGAUCGGAAUUAAUUAAAGUGCACGACGCAGCAAGUCAACCAGUGCAACUUGCUACCACUUACUCGCGCGCACGCGUGCGUGUUCUGCCGAAACACGUCGCCGCCGGAGCAAGCAAGGAGCAUGUAUUUUUCACUCCUGAUUUUACACUGUGACAGCGACCUCGUGUCUCGAUCUGAUAUGCACUAGUCCUGGGUACGUCCCCAAACUGUACGUCAUUUUUUAGUUUUUUUCUAGGUACAUACACAUAAAUAUAGUGUAUGUCCAAAUGCAUACGAACAUGUAUGAAAUUAAAAAAGUCAAAACGACCUACAAUUUAAAACGGAUGGAUACGUAAUAUUUAUUGCGUAUACUGACAUUAUUUGACAUACGUGUCAUAGCAAUCGCAGUUAUGCUUACACACGGUCAGCUAGUCUCGAUGAAAUAAUCUCGCAACUCAUUACUCGGUCCGUCCAAACUUAUGAGAAAAAUUUAAAUAACCUGCAAUUUUAAAACAGAGGAAGUAGUUCAUCCGUUCUUAAAUAUAUAUCCGUUCUAAAAUACAUGACGCCAUUAACUUUUUACUCUAACUUUGACCACCAAUAUCUAUUGAACGAGUUAGUUAACUAAAGUAAAAUAUGUAUCAUUAUAUCUAUUGUCAAAUGUACUUUAGAUUUAACCUGUAGGUUUAUUUAUUUGAUAAAUAUUUAUAAAAAAAAUGAAUAGUCAAAUAAAUGAAAAAAAAUCAACGCGUCGUAUAUCGAAGAACGGAGACCGUAAACUUGACCACCGUAUCCUCUAACGGAUCGGAGCUGAUCACCCCGGCGCCGUUGCUUGCCCACCUGGCUACACUACACGACACAUCCGCGAGUGGCAUUGUCUUUGGCGCCGUGUGCCGCUACGUUUACGUAUACGCCCCUCUCUACGUACACUGCCGAGCCCAUACGCCCGCGUACGUAUCCUAUCCACCACGGUACCGCCUUUAUUCCGUAACGAGCCGAGCGGAGGAGCAAGCAAGUAAAUAAAAAAAAAAGCCGGAACGGCAAAAUCCCGGAGUCCACGCAGGUCAGCUGGCCCCAGCGGCACGCCAGCCUGUCAUGCUCCCUCCCCGCUUCCUGUCCAAGCCAAGCCCAGCUGAUAUUUCCCACUACACGACAAGUCCUCCCCCACCCCAAGCCUAGUCGCCUAUAAAUGCCGACCCCGCCUCCACCCCCAUCGCCAUCUCAUCUCGUUCCCCUCUCCUCUUCCCCCAUCAGAUCAUCAGACCACCACGAGACACCGUGAACCGCCGGCGCCAGCGACACGAAGCAGACCGAUCGAUCACACAUACCGACGAUUACACCAAUGGGGCUGUGCCUGUCGAGCGGCGCGGUGGGCGACGCCGCCAGGGCGGCGGCGGCUGGCGCGCCGAGGGACACCGCCCUCGUGCUGCUGCCCACCGGGGAGCUGCGUGAGUACCCGCGCCCGGCGACGGCGGCGCGGGUGCUGGAGGACGCUUCCGCCUCCAAUGACGGCGGCGGGUGGUUCCUGUGCGACGCGGACCGGAUGGGGUUCGAGGGCCCCGUGGCGGCCGUGGGCGCGGACGAGGAGCUCCGCGCGGGGCAGAUCUACUUCGUGCUCCCCGCCGGGGCGCGCCGCCGCGGGCUCAGCCGCGAGGAGGUCGCCGCGCUCGCCGUAAGGGCCUCCGCCGCGCUCUCCAGGGCCUCCGCCGCCGCCGCCAACGGAUCGGGUUCGGGGAGGCGGAGGCGCGGCGCCGUCGCGCCCCUCGUCUUCGCGCCGCCGGAGGAGGAGCACCAGGAGCUUGAGCGGACCUCCUCUUACAAGGUGGCGCCGCCGCAGCCGAAGCGGCGCCCGGCGGCCCGCCCGGGAAGGCGGCUCGAGCGGUUCGCUUCGGAUCUCACGGCGAUCCCCGAGUGCGAGAUGAGCAGUGAGUAGCGGCUACCUGGACGCACCGGAUUUCGAGCGAUCACUGAACGAAUCCAAGCGAGACUGCACUGCCGUUUCCCGAUCUCCCAAUCAGCCGGACCCUGGAUUGUUGCGGACGCUCCCGACGCAGAGGACGACGACGACGGAGGAAACAAAAGCCACGCCCAGGUGGGUGGACCCCACGCGGCGAUGCGCCGCCGUGUGGUGAUCGGACGAAUGGUGGUGGUGGUGUGGUUUUGGCACGAAAGCUGAACCGAACUGAAUCAUCCAUCGGUUUGGAGGAAUUCGGGAUACGGCCUGAUGAACAUUCGUAGGAAUUCGUAGGAAUUUUGGUCUUGAGUUAGCUGAGCUGGUGCACGUGAUUCAGAUGUCGGUUGGUUGCUUUGCAGCUGAACAACGAAAUGUGAAUAGAGUAUUUCUUGCUGAGAAAACAAUUCUGCACAUGCCUCUGCACUCUGCUCAAAUUCUUGCGUACUCCGUAACCUGAUAACCUGAAGAAGCUUUCACUGACCCUGCAGAAUUCGUUCAGGUUCUCUACUCUGGCGCACUGCCGUUUUCAGUCCGAUUGGAAAAUUACAGUGUCCUUCCAUCAAAUACAAGCACGAGUACUGCUCUUUGCAUUCUUAAUUACUAAUACCGCAAUGGUUUACGCAUAUGUUCAGUCAAAUGCUACGUUUUGUCCUCGCUGAUGUGCACGAAAGGGUUGGUAGUUAUAAUAGCAUGGCACUCUGCUUCUUCUCCUGCAGAGCAGAGCAGCUGUGAGCCGGGUUACCAGAGAAAGAAACAUAAUUUUGGUGAGACGUCUGAAACUCUGAAUUGACAACAUGGCUCCGACCUCCGAGUGGUUGCUAGCUUGAGAUGAGUUUGUUCCGUCUUUUGGAGGGUAGAAGAACAAGCGAGCCAAAUACGGAGCUUCUUUCCCGUCCCGGACAAAGAAAGAUACGAUACAUACGCGGAGUACUUAGUUUUCAGAGACGUGUGCGGUUUUGUGGUGGAGCUGGGAUUUGGGUGCUGCAGCGACAGCAUCGUACCAGUUUCAGAUACUAAGGUUGAUAACUUGGUAACUAUGCCUGUCAGCAAAAUUGCUGAUGUAACAUGUUAUUUAAUGAUGAUGAAAUUCUUGAUGAAAUUUUUACUGAAGCUGACCUUGUGCGAAGCCCCUGUCGCGUGGACGUGUCGUGUCCUGAGCCGUCCAAUGGGUGGCUAGGCGCGCAACGGCACUACGGAGUAGAGAGCACACUACGGAGAUGGCCUCCAGCUCACUCGCCUGGCGUCCUCCCCGUCACGCGCGCGUAGACGGUAGACCCGUUGGCCGUGCCUGCACACGGCGGGCGGGCGGCCGGCCGUUGGUUCGUGGAGCAAACAGUAGAUAUGCUUCUCAUUUUUUCUAAACCUUUUAGACUUCUACUAGAAAAUGGAGACCAUGAGCCUCUUCAGGCUUAACAACCACCCCCCCAAGCAGGCGCGAAGUCACGUUGGGUGCAAGUUCCUUGAGCAGUGCACCAUGAUCAAUUUAAGCCUACCUUCACCCCUGUCCUUGAGCUUAAGUACAACCUUUUGGUUAAAUUUUCACGUGUGUUUUCCUCGUUGAUGUGAUGCGCAUGGAAGCGUCAACAGCUAUGACAUGUGGAAUGAGAGCUUUUUAUUUUGGGGGAAAGAAUUAAUGUGGAAUGAGAGAUGUCAUUAGUAGCUUAGAUGACUUGUUUUCCUGGAUGGGAGGUCAGUGAUAGAAAUAAGCGGUUGCUAGGCUAUUAGGUGCUCACCAAUUCGAGCUUUACAAAAAAGGAAAAAGAAAGGGAGUGCAUGCUCGACGCUGAGAAUGCGAUCGAGAUGCAUAUAUGCACAAACAUACGUGCCUGGAAUCCACCAUCAGUUUUGUACUUUUGUUCCGCCUUUUCGUUUGGAGGGUAGAGCGAGCUAGAGCAAGCCAAAUACGGCGCUUCUUUUUAUUUCCGUCCCGGGACAAAGAUGACAAUACGUACGCGUAGUUUUCGGAGAGCGAGAAGGUUGUGGACGUGCAUGUAGUUCCGUGGCGGAGCUGCAUUCGCGAGCUGCCGUGCGGCUGUGCCUUCCCUUGUGUGCCGCCCUGUCGUCGUCUCGUCGUCCGGAACGAGAUGAUGGCCUCCAGCUCGCUCGCUCGCUCGCUUGCUUUGCCGUCUCGUUCCGCCGUUGGCUUGUCUGCACACGGCGGCCGUUCCAUAUCGAUCGAGGCGCGUCCUGGCCCCGCUUGCGUCAGCUUGACAGCGAGCUUGCACACGAGCAGGCGAGCAGCGUCGUGGGUGCCGCACGGACGACGCGCGGGCACGUGCGGGCUGGGUGCCGCACGCCCAUCGCCGCGUGAUGUUGCCGGCCGCCGGGCGCGCCCACUAGAUCUAUAUAUAGUACUCUAGUCUACUAGUAGAAGAGGCAAAAAGAUACGAGCUGCAGCUGGCGCGAGCAUCAAGUGAAGUCAACUCGAUCCAUGGAUCGAUCGGGUGUGCAAGCUGGAAGAGCCGCCGCACCGUGGCCACGCGAGUGCGGUGAUGCCCCGCCUACAGUUUAGGUGUAGGGUGCGGCGCGGCGAGCAGACCACGCGUGCCUGCCCGCACCAUCAGUCGUAGAAAGUGAUGCCCGGCCGGAACGGAAAGGAACCAAGCAGCCAGCCAACUGUUAGGUUUAGGAGCUGUUUGGAGGCAAACCACUAAAGUUUAGCACCUGUCACAUCGGAUAUUUGAAUACUAAUUAGGAGUAUUAAAUAUAGUCUAAUUAUAAAACUAAUUGCACAGAUCGAGUCUAAUUCGAGAGACGAAUCUAUUAAGCCUAAUUAGUCCAUGAUUUGACAAUAUGGUUGCUACAGUAACCAUUUGCUAAUGAUGGAUUAAUUAGACUUAAUAAAUUCGUCUUGCGAAUUAGAUUCCAUCUGUGCAAUUAGUUUUGUAAUUAUCUCAUGUUUAAUCCUUCUAAUUAGCAUCUGAACAUCCGAUAUGACCCUGCUAAAGUUUAGCGCAUCGUGUCCAAACACCCCCUUAGUCUCACGUCGAAAGUUGAUGACGGGGAGUAUAAUAUAUAGGUGAAGGCAGCCUUCACCAAUCAUGCUAGUCUUUUAGGUUGAGUUAGAUCUAAGAUUUUGUUAUUGUGGGCUGCGGUGGACCUGGGUCUGGUGGGGCGUCGACUCGUGGGUAUAACGGCCUGGGUUGCUUGUGAUGGAAGAGUUGGACCCGAUGUGUGACGGAGGAGAUUGUUAGGUUUAGUCCCACAUCGGAAAUUGUUGGUUGGGGAGUACAACAUAUAGGUGGGGGCAGCCCUCACCCAUCGGGCUAGGCUUUUGGGUUAUUGUUGUGGGCUUCGGUGGACCUGGGCUUGUUAGGGUGCUGGCUCGUGAGUAAUAGCGACUGGGCUGAGAUCCUCUACGCACUCUAACAAGAGUUAUUAGGAUCAAAAGGUAGGAAACCUGGAACAUCUCUGAGAACAGGGUGCAGGUGCACGGAAAAACCAAUGGUGAGAAUCAGAGCUUGGGUGUUUGGAUCUAUGGACUAAUUUUUAGUUCAGGUCAUAUAGGAUGUUUGGAUACCAAUUAGAAGAACUAAAUAUGAACUAAUUAUAAAACUAAUUGCAUAAACGAGGACUAAUUCGCGAGACGAAUCUAUUAGGCCUAAUUAAUCCAUAAUUAGCACACUGUAGCAUCACAUGGGCUAAUCAUGGACUAAUUAGGCUUAAUAGAUUCAUCUUGCGAAUUAAUCCUCGUUUAUGCAAUUAGUUUUAUCAUUAAACUAUAUUUAAUACUCUAAACAUCCAAUAUAAUAGGAGGGACUGAAGCUUAGUUCGGAGUAUCCAAACACCGCAUGCAAAGUUGUGCAUGUGUUUGUGCUUACGUGUGGGCUGUAGAGUACGAGAUGGGUGCUGUACGUUGCUGCGUGAUUAGCUCAUGGAGACACCGUGAGGUUCGAGUAGCCGGAAAACUCGAUCUCGAUGGAUCUCAGUGGUGGACGUGCACAAGGCCAUAAUGACUAAGGCAGAGCGCAGGUGAUGGUGUGGCCAAUAUACUUUUCAAAAAAAAA